rnacentral:lncRNA from 1 species
UUUUUUUUCGUUUCUCGAACAAUGAAUGAAAACUCCCAAAGCGACACACAAAUGAUCUUGCUAGCUAGCACCCACGUGUAGUUGCGACUAUAGCAAAUGACUCAAAUAUAGCAAACGAUACCUCAAAUGCACCAUAAAAUCGAACCAUAGGGUACAAUGGUGAUUUCUAACAGUGGAAAAAUAUUUGGAGGCGGAAUGAUGAACUCUUGUUUUCAUUCAAAUGAAAAGAUGGUGUUAGUUCAUGUAAAUGUUUUCGAAUAGCACACGGUUCACUCACGAAAGCCAUGUGCCUACCAAACCGUGGCCGAUGCCCCCACCUUACUGCGCGUGUGAUCUGAGUCAUGCGCUUUGAUUGGCCAGAACCCAAACCCCAUGGAUCGUACGUCUGCACCAUUGGAUGAUCCCAGAUCAAACAACGAUCCUCAUCCCUUUCGACAACAAAUGCAAUCGAGCUAGGAUUUGAUUUAUAUGCCAAAAUGCAUGGUAAAUGCCAAAAAAUGUCUUAAAUAUAGCACAUGAGACCUGAAAUGCGCCAGCAAAUCAAUCCUGUGCUAUAAUGGUGAUUACUUAACGUGGGAAAAUUUUAGAGGCGAAAUAAUGAACUCGCGUCUUCAUUUCAAAAUUAGUACGUCUUCAUUUCAAACAAAAUUAUUCACUUUGUGCACAUGAGCGCUUAGUGGCAACCAUUUGCAUAGGCCUUUCCGUCGGCGACCANNNNNNNNNNNNNNNNNNNNNNNNNNNNNNNNNNNNNNNNNNNNNNNNNNNNNNNNNNNNNNNNNNNNNNNNNNNNNNNNNNNNNNNNNNNNNNNNNNNNNNNNNNNNNNNNNNNNNNNNNNNNNNNNNNNNNNNNNNNNNNNNNNNNNNNNNNNNNNNNNNNNNNNNNNNNNNNNNNNNNNNNNNNNNNNNNNNNNNNNNNNNNNNNNNNNNNNNNNNNNNNNNNNNNNNNNNNNNNNNNNNNNNNNNNNNNNNNNNNNNNNNNNNNNNNNNNNNNNNNNNNNNNNNNNNNNNNNNNNNNNNNNNNNNNNNNNNNNNNNNNNNNNCUCAACUAGUUCACCCAAUCUCCAUCGCCAGCUCCCCCUCCCCCAGAUCCACAGUAGAACCCUCUUCGGCGCCGGCGUGUUCACCCCGGUCGUGUGCCCGCUCUUCGGCGUCAACCCUACCUCCACUACCGUUCCCAACACACGGCUGCCCGCGCCUUGCCAUCUUCAUUUGCUCGCCAGCCACCCUCGAGCAUAUCAGUCUUGUAAUGCUCGCCUCUCCUGUGGUCUGGCCGGGUUUGCAUUAAGAAACAUGUUAGUUAUUGCUCUCCAUUGCGGUGAGUCAUAUUUCCUCACAAUCCCUCUUCCUAUUUCGCUCCCUAUGUUCCCAAAUUAGCUAUAAAAUAAUGGAGAGUGUAUAUAUGUUCAUUAUCUACCUUCCUAACUAGUACAUAUAAGUUGUAUUUGUUCCAAUAAGUUACUGCCGAUUUACAGAUCACGGACACCCGAGUCACACAAACUUAACAAAUAAGCCGUACAUUUUCUAAAUUAUUGCAUGACAUGUUUAGACAACUCGAUACCAAGUUGUUAGUUUUAUGCUUAUCCUCCUUUCCCGAGUUUCGCAUGUGUUCUGUGUAGAUGCCGAGUAGUAGCGACAUCACUCAUGCUUCAGGCGAUGUAUCUUCAUCUAAUUCUGACAACCCUAGGUCUUCAGCAGAUGGUGAGGGAUCAAGUAAUCUUGAACGGGAUAGAGCUGCAGCAAUUACCCUUCCGGUCAGGACACGGAGGAAUGCUCCAAGGCAGACCACACACCAUCCUAAAGGUGUAUAUGAAGUAACCGAGAUCGAUUUAAAGUCUUGGGCUCCAACAAAACCAGAUAAAGCACGCACGAGGUUCAGGAGUGUGUGUGGAUUUGUUAGGAGGGCAAGGCUCAACAUUAAUCCACCGGGGUUUCAGAAGGCUGACACAGAAACACGACAAAGGAUAGUCCGGGAGAUCAUGGAUCACUUCAAUGUUCUAGAGCAGUGGAGAAUGCAGGAUGGAACAUGCUGCAUUGAAGAAGGCUAGGGAUGCUUGGAGAAACUGGAAGCACGUGAUGUACAAGAAGUACUUGAGUGAAGGCAAGGACCCAAUCCCCGCAUACCCCCAAAUUACAAAGGCAGACUGGGCAGAAUUCAAAAGGGUCAGGGCAACUACAGAAUUUGCUGAGAAGAGUGCCAAGCAGUCGAACAGAAGAGGAACACACACACACACACACCGUAUGGCUGUGGCAGGAUACUACAACAUGAAACCGAUAUGGGACCAGGAGGACAAAGAGGCAGUAGCGGUGGGUGGGAAACCGGCCUUUAGUUAAAUCAGGGGUGAACGUGCUAGAGACUACUUGCGGGCACAUGCAAGGAGGCGUGAUGACGGAACUUAUUACUUUGAAAACUCAAAUUACGAAGAACUGUAUCGCAUGAUGUUAAAGGCUUCCAAGAUCCCUCGAAGGUUCUACAGGAACUCAGUGCCAUGUGACAUUCUGUCCAAUGCUCUGGAAACAAGAUAGCCCCCUGGUCGUGCAAGGGGUAUAGGUGUUAAUGUCCCGCAUAAGAGGGAUUUCACACUCAGCAAAGAAGAGAGGCUCAACAUGAAAAAAGAGAGGAGAGAAGUGAAGCAGAAUGAAUUGUAUGAAAGGUUGAGGAAGGACAUGUAUCCGGCUGUUCGAAAGGAUAUUGAGGAGUCAAUGAUGAUGCAUAAGACUCUAACACUGACAGAUAGCCAGCAGAUGGGAGGGGAGGCGGGCAUGGAGGAUGCUGCUUAUUGCACGACAACACCGCACAAGAGUAGUUGUGCAUCAGCUGACCCAGCGACACUGAGACUGCAGCUGCUCAUGAUGAUGCUAUAUCUGAUCUAUCUGGGAUGAAAGACAGAGUGAAGGGCGUGCUUACACAUUAUGAAGGUACAUUAAAAUGUGCAACAGCCUGGAUUUGCCCACCCUUUUUGGAAGAGGGCCUCUUGUUGGACAAUAUGCCAUUGAAGCUGGGCUGUGUGAAGUGCUAUGUGACUGAAGUAAAGCCUGGAUUCAAUGAAUUUUCCCUAAAGAAUAUCCUAGGAGACUUUGAUGAGCAAUGGACCUUGGGAGAAACAUUGUUACAUCACAUCCAUUGGCCACAAAAUGAAAUAGAGUUCAUGGAUGAGAUCCCUGAAGCCCCACCAAGAGCAACCAAUGUCGCCCCUCAACCGGUGACGCUCUCCUUGCCACAGCAGCUCUCGCUUGCUUCCCCCAAAGAACCUAAUACUCGUAAUCCGACAGCUGAUGCGUCAACCUGUGAUCAGCGGAACGACUUUGUGCCAUACAUGCCAUGUCAUCAUCCACCCCAGAGCAGCCAGUGGCAAGUCCUACAACUGCUGAAGAUACACCACCGGUUCAGAUGCCGGCAGCUAAAGCAGCGGGGGGAGACCCAGCUGCAGCACAUGCUUAGCAGACCAAUCUGGUGGAAUGGACUUCUAAGCAGGCUGAUGCUUUGGAACCGCCUGUAAGCAGUCUGUAGGUCCAAAACCGACUGCUCAUCAGUCCGUCGGUCCACAGCCACAUGAUCAGCAUACCAAUGCGUCAGCACUUCCUGCUCAACAAACCAACGCAUUGGCUCGUCUGACAACCCACAAGUGUAGGGGAUCGCAACAGCUUUCGAGGGUAAAGUAUUCAACCCAAAUUUAUUGAUUCGACACAAGGGGAGCCAAAGAAUAUUCUUGAGUAUUAGCAGUUGAGUUGUCAAUUCAACCACACAUGGAUAACUUAGUAUCUACAGCAAAGUAUUUAGUUGCAAAGUGGUAUGAUAAUAAAGGUAACGGUAGCAAAAGUAAUGUUUUCGGGUUUUGUAAUGAUUGUAACAAUAGCAACGGAAAAGUAAAUAAGCGAAACACAAGAUGUUAAAAGCUCGUAGGCAAUGGAUCAGUGAUGGAUAAUUAUGUUGGAUGCGAUUCCUCAUGUAAUAGCUAUAACAUAGGGUGACACAGAACUAGCUCUAGUUCAUCAAUGUAAUGUAGGCAUGUAUUCCGUAAAUAGUCAUACAUGCUUAUGGAAAAGAACUUGCAUGACAUCUUUUGUCCUACCCUCCCGUGGCAGCGGGGUCCUAGUGGAAAUUAAGGGAUAUUAAGGCCUCCUUUUAAUAGAGAACCGGAACAAAGCAUUAGCACAUAGGGAAUACAUGAACUCCUCAAACUAUAGUCAUCACCGAGAAGUAUCCCGAUUAUUGUCACUUCGGGGUUGUCAGAUCAUAACACACAAUAGGUGACUAUAGACUUGCAAGAUAGGAUCAAGAACACACAUAUAUUCAUGAAAACAUAAAAGGUUCAAAUCUGAAAUCAUGGCACUCGGGCCCUAAUGACAGCAUUAAGCAUAGCAAAGUCAUAGCAACAUCAAUCUCACAACAUAGUGGAUACUAGGGAUCAAAACCUAACAAAACUAACUUGAUUACAUGGUAAAUCUCAUCCAACCUAUCACCGCCCAGCAAGCCUACGAUGGAAUUACUCACGCAUGGCGGUGAGCAUCAUGAAAUUGGUGAUGGAGGAUGGUUGAUGAUGACGACGGCGACGAAUCCCCCUCUCCGGAGCCCUGAACGGACUCCAGAUCAGCCCCCCAGAGAGAGAUUAGGGCUUGGCGGCGGCUCCGUAUCGUAAAAUGCAAUAAAACUUUCUCUCUGAUUUUUUUUCUCCCCGAACGUGAAUAUAUGGAGUUGGAGUUGAGGUCGGUGGUGGUCUAGGGGGCCCACGAGACAGGGGGGCGCCCAGGGGGAGGGGACGCACCCCCCACCCUCGUGGACAGGGUGUGGGUCCCCUGGUCUUGAUUCUUUCGCCAGUAUUUUUAAUAUUUUCCAAAAAGUGCCUCCGUGGAUUUUCAGGACAUUCCGAUAACUUUUGCUUUCUACACAUAAAACAACAUCAUGGCAGUUCUGCUGAAAACAACGUCAGUUCGGGUUAGUUUCAUUUAAAUCAUGCAAGUUAGAGUCCAAAACAAGGGCAAAAGUGUUUGGAAAAGUAGAUACGUUGGAGAUGUAUCAACUCCCCCAAGCAUAAACAUUUGCUUGUCCUCAAGCAAUUCAGUUGAUAAACUGAAAGUGAUAAAGAAAAACUUAUACAAACUCUGUUUGCUCUUGUUGUUGUAAACAUGCAAAGCCAUCAUUCAGGUAUCAGCAAAUAUUAUGAAGUAUCCAUACUCACAAUAACACCCAGGUCUCACAAUUACUCAUAUCAAUAGCAUAAUCAGCUAGCGAGCCAUAAUAAUAAAACUCGGAUGACAACACUUUCUCAAAACAAUCAUAACAUGAUAUAGCAAAAUGGUAUCUCGCUAGGCCUUUCUGAGACCGCAAAAUAUAAAUGCAGAGCACCUUUAAUGAUCAAGGACUGACUAAACAUUGUAAUUCAUGGUAAAAGAGAUCCAGUCAAGUCAUACCCAAUAUAAACCAAUAAGACUGAAUGCAAAUGACAAUGUGCUCUCCAGCGGGUGCUUAUUAAUAAGAAGGGUGAUGACUCAACAUAAAAGUAAAUAGAUAGGCCCUUCGCAGAGGGAAGCAGGGAUUUGUAGAGGUACCAAAGCUCGAUUUUGAAAUAGAGAUAAAUUAUAUUUUGAGCGGCAUACUUUCACUGUCAACGCAACAACUAUGAGAUGGAUGUAUCUUCCAUACUACAUGCAUUAUAGGCAGUUCCCAAACAGAAUGGUAAAGGUUUAUACCCCCCCUCCUCCACAAGCAUCAAUCCAUGGCUUGAUCGAAACAACAAGUGCCUCCAACUAACAACAGCCCAGGGGGGGUUUUGUUUAAUUAUUUUGAUUUGCUUUGAUCUUUUUGGAUCAUGGGACUGGGCAUCCCGGUUACCGGCCCUUUCUCGUGAAUGAGGAGCGGAGUCCACUCCUCUUGAGAAUAACCCACCUAUAUGGAAGAUAUAGGCAGCCCUAGCUGAAACAUGAGCUGCUCGAGUAUACAAAACAGAAUUUCAUUUGAAGGUUUGGAGUUUGCCACAUACAAAUUUACUUGGAACGACAAGUAAAUACCGCAUAUAGGUAGGUAUGGUGGACUCAUAUGGAACAACUUCGGGGUUUAAGGAGUUUGGAUGCACAAGCAGUAUUCCCGCUUAGUACAUGUGAAGGCUAGCAAAAGACUAGGAAGCGACCAACUAAGAGAGCGACAACAGUCAUAAACAUGCAUUAAAAUUAAUUCACACCGAGUACAAGCAUGAGUAGGAUAUAAUCUACCAUGAACAUAAAUAUCAUGAAGGCUAUGUUGAUUUGUUUCAACUACAUGCGUGAACAUGUGACAAGUCAAGUCACUCAAUUCAUUCAAAGGAGGAUACCAUCCCAUCAUACCACAUCAUAAUCAUUCUAAUAGCAUGUUGGCACACAAGGUAAAGCAUUAUAACUCAUAGCUAAUCAAGCAUGGCACAAGCAACUAUAAUCUCUAAAUGUCAUUGCAAAAAUGUUUACUUCAUAAUAAGCUGAAUCAGGAACGAUGAACUUAUCAUAUUUACAAACACAAGAGAGCUCGAGUUCAUACCAGCUUUUCUCAUCUCAAUCAGUCUAUCAUAUAUCGUCACUAUUGCCUUUCACUUGCACGAUCGGACGAUGUGUAUAAUAAUAAUAGUGCACGUGCAUUGGACUAAGCUGGAAUCUGCAAGCAUUCAACUCAAGAGAGAAGACAGGGUAAUAUGGGCUCUGAAUUAAAUAAACAAUCAUGCAUAUGAGAGCCACUAAGGAUUUUCAAUAUGGUCUUCUCGACCCCCAAAGGAAAGAAAAUAAAAUAAAACUAUUUACACGGGAAAACUCCCAACAGGUAAGAAGAAGAACGAGAAAUAUUUUUGGGUUUUCAUUUUAAUUCUACUACAAGCAUGGAAUUUAAACGAACUAAUUUUUUUUGGUUUUUCUUAAGGUUUAACAAACACACAAGAAGAAAGCGAAAAAGAAAAUUAAACUGACAUGGAUAAUACAGUGAAAGAGUAUGAGCACCGACGACUAGUGUGUGAACAUGAAUGUAAAGUCGAUGAGAAACACGUACUCCCCCAAGCUUAGGGUUUUGGCCUAAGUUGGUCUAAUACCAAGGACCACUGCUACUCUCCCCGGUGUACUGGGAGGUGUAAUCAGGAUACCACUGGCUGGUCAUCUCCGGAUCCCACUGGAAAGAUGAUGCACGAUAAGGGUCCAGUUCAGGUUCCGGCUCAGGUUCAGGUUCUGGAGUGGAUGCUUGGCCUCGAUGAGCGUACACCGCUUCCGGUGUGACAAGAAAAUUAUCUGCAGUCAAAUCAAACAACAGAGGCGCAGGCAAAAUAAUAGUCUCAUUGUGUUUCUUAUUAAAUCUAAGGUUAUACAAGAGCAUCCUUUCUUCGUUGUCAAUGAUAAACUUAUGCGCUACCAUGCUCUUGUAAUCUAAAAUGUGAGGAGGCAAUUUUGUCUCCUCUUUCUCAUGGUGCCUAAUAGGUAUCUAAAAAUGUCUAGCAAGACGUGAAGCAUAGAUACCUCCAAAUAUGGGGCCUUUUGUACAAUUCGGGCCUAGCCGUUUAGCAAUGACGGCACCCAUACUAAAACUAUUAUCUCCAAGCAAGGCAUGUUGAAGAAUGAUAAUAUCAGGAACACUAAAGUUUCCACUAUUUCCACGACCAAUCAAGCAUCUACUAGCAAAUAUGGCAAAGUAGCGUAAAACAGGAAAAUGAAUGCUAGAGAUUUUCGCCUUGGAACCCUUCUUUGGCUCCUCUAUAGCUAUAGUGUUAAAAAAGCCAUCCACAUCUUUACGAUGGGGUUCCUCUAAUUCUCACUCAUAGGGUAUCCUACAUAUCGCGCAAAAAUUACGUAAAGACAUUUCUCUGAAUUCAUCAUAUAAAUGAAAUGAUACUGAAGGCGGUGACUUCUUAGGAUAAUAAUAAAUUUUUUGCAUGAAAGUAUUGGUGAGUAAGAGAUACUGAUCGAUCCGGUCAUGGAGGAAACCGGUGGGGCCUGCAUUCUCGAUAAAAGAAUAAAAAUCUUCAUGAAUUCCAGCUUCUUUCAAGAAAUCAUCGCAUGGCCAUUCACACGGCCGUAUCUCCGCUAAGCGAGGAAGAUUAUACUUUGAUUUUUCCUUCUCUUUAGCUUGUUUUUCCUGAGAGCCAUGGCUAGAAGAGCCCCUCAAAAGUUUCCUUAACAUUUUCUGAAAAUUUCUGAAAUUUUAGUAACUUCAAAAUAAAAGUGAAUAAAACUAAACAAGAUUGAUAGCAACUACUCCUACAAGUGCCUAGAGCCUAUAUCAUGCAUUAGAAUUGCUUGGGACCUCAUAGAUUCAACAUGCAAGCUCAAGAACAUGGUCACCUAUACAGAAAAAAUUUGCAAUGAAUAAAGCACUAGAACAAAAACUAAUUCAACCAAUGGAGGAGUCACAUACCAAGCAACAAUCUCCCAAAGCAGUUUUGUGCAUGAAGCUUUGAGCAAGGAGAUCGAAAAUCGCAGCAAAAUAAGCUAGAACUUGUGCUUGAGCUGGAUGGGGAUUUUUUUUGGGUAGAAGAUGGAGUGUGUGGGUGCUGGCAUAAGUGGAGGGGGGCCACCAGGGGCCCACGAGACAGGGGGCGCGCCCAGGGGUGCUGGGCACGCCCUCCACUCUCAUGGUCUGGUGCUUGCCGCUCCAGCAGUGAUUUCAGUGCCUAAAAUCCUCAAAUAUUCCAUAAAAAAUCAUACUAAAUUUGCAGGGCAUUUGGAGCACUUUUAUUUUCAGGAUAUUUUUUAUUGCACGGAUAAUUCAGAAAACAAACAAAUAAUACUAUUUUUGCUUUAUAAUAGAAAGUAAAAAGAGGGUACAUAAGGUUGUGCCUUCUAGUUUCAUCCAUCUCAUGAUCAUCAAAAUGAAUCCAUUAACAAGGUUGAUCAAGUCUUGUUAACAAACUCAUCCGAAUAACACGGAACCGGAGAAAUUUCGAAUAACACUAAGUUACCUCAACGGGGAUAUGAAAAUCCCCAACAAUAAGAAUAUCAUACUUUUUCUUGACAGUAGGGAGAGGAAAUUCAAAACCUCCAAUAAUGAUAGUUGGAACUUUCACAAUAGAAUUGAUGCUAUGAACUUGAGAUUGUUUCCUCGGAAAGUGUACUGUAUGCUCAUUACCAUUAACAUGAAAAGUGACAUUGCCUUUGUUGCAAUCAAUAAUAGCCCCUGCAGUAUACAAAAGGGGUCUACCAAGGAUAAUAGACAUACUAUCAUCCUCGGGAAUAUCAAGAAUGACAAAGUCCAUUAAGAUAGUGACAUUUGCAACCACAACAGGCACAUCCUCACAAAUAUAGACAGGUAUAGCAGUUGAUUUAUCGGCCAUUUGCAAAGAUAUUUCAGUAGGUGUCAACUUAUUCAAUUCAAGUCUACUAUAUAAAGAGAGACGCAUAACACUAACACCAGCUCCAAGAUCACAUAAAGCAGUUCUAACAUAAUUUCUUUUAAUGGAGCAUGGUAUAGUUGGUACACCCGGAUCUCCAAGUUUCUUUGGUAUUCCACCCUUAAAAGUAUAAUUAGCAAGCAUGGUGGAAAUUUCAGCUUUCGGUAUCUUUCUUUUGUUUGUAAUGAUAUCCUUCAUAUACUUAGCAUAAGGAUUCACUUUAAGCAUAUCAGUUAAACGCAUACGUAAGAAGAUAGGUCUAAUCAUUUCAGCAAAGCGCUCAAAAUCCUCAUCAUCCUUUGUCUUGGAUGGUUUAGAAGGAAAGGGCAUGGGUUUCUGAAUCCAUGGUUCUCUUUCUCUACCGUGCUUCCUGAUACGUCCAUUUUGCAUCAUGCUUUUAUAUCAAUAUUUAUUGCAUUAUGGGCUGUUAUUACACAUUAUAUCUCAAUACUUAUGGCUAUUCUAUCUUAUUUUACAAGGUUUACCAUGAAGAGGGAGAAUGUCGGCAGCUGGAAUUCUGGCUGGAAAAGGAGCAAACGUUGGAAACCUAUUCUGCACAGCUCCAAAAGUCCUGAAACUCCACGAAACAACUUUUUGGAUUUAAUAAGAAUUUCUGAGCGAAAGAAAUAGGCCAGGGCGCCCCCCCCAUAGGGCGCGCCCCUAUCUCCUGGGCCCCCUGGUGGGCCUCCGGCGUCCAUCUUCUCCUAUAUCAUCACUUGUACCCUGGAAAAAAUCGUGGGCAAGCUUACGGGACGAAACUCCGCCGCCACGAGGCGGAACCUUGGCGGAAUCAAUCUAGGGCUCUGGCGGAGCUGUUCUGCCGGGGACACUUCCCUCCGGGAGGGGGAAAUCAUCACCAACAUCAUGACCAAUGAUCCUCUCAUCGGGAGGGGGUCAAUCUCCAUCAACAUCUUCACCAGCACCAUCUCCUCUCAAAACCCUAGUUCAUCUCUUGUAUCCAAUCUUGUAUCAAAACCACAAAUUGGUACCUGUGGGUUGCUAGUAGUGUUGAUUACUACUUGUAGUUGAUGCUAAUUGGUUUACUUGGUGGAAGAUCAUAUGUUCAGAUCAUUUAUGCAUAUUAUUACUCCUCUGAUUAUGAACUUGAAUAUGCUUUGUGAGUAGUUACAUUUUUUCCUGAGGACAUGGGUGAAGUCUUGCUAUUAGUAGUCAUGUGAAUUUGGUAUUCGUUCGAUAUUUUGAUGAGAUGUAUGUUGUCUUUUCCUCUAGUGGUGUUAUGUGAACGUCGACUACAUGACACUUCACCAUUAUUUUGGCCUAGAGGAAGGCAUGGGGAAGUAAUAAGUAGAUGAUGGGUUGCUAGAGUGACAGAAGCUUAAACCCUAGUUUAUGCGUUGCUUCGUUAGGGGCUGAUAUGGAUCCAUACGCUUAAUGUUGUGGUUAGGUUUACCUUAAUACUUCUUUUUGUAGUUGCGGAUGCUUGCAAUAGGGGUUAAUCAUAAGUGGGAUGCUUGUCCAAGUUAGGGCAGUACCCAAGUACCGGUCCACCCACAUAUCAAAUUAUCAAAGUACCGAAGGCGAAUCAUAUGAACGUGAUGAAAACUAGCUUGACGAUAAUUCCCAAUGUGUCCACGGGAGCUCCUUUCUCAUUAUUAUAAAUUGUCCAGGCUUAUCCUUUGCUACAUAAAGGAUUGGGCCACCUUGCUGCACUUUACUUACUUUAUUUACUUGUUGCUUGUUACUAUUUAUCUUAUCACAAAACUAUCUGUUACCUACAAUUUCAGUGCUUGCAGAGAAAACCUUACUGAAAACCGCUUAUCAUGUCCUUCUGCUGCUCGUUGGGUUUGACACUCUUACUUAUUGAAAGGACUAUGAUAGAUCCCCUACACUUGUGGGUCAUCAAGACUCUUUUCUGGCGCUGUUGCCGUGGAGUGUAGCGCUUUUGGUGAGUGGAACUUUGUAAGGAAACAUUUAUAUAGUGUGCUGAAAUUUUCUGUUACUUGUCACUAUGGAAACUAACCCUUUGAGGGGAUUGUUUGGGGUAUCUUCACCCCAAGCAGAAGAGCAAAGAGUUUCUCCUCAACCUACUGAACUUUAUGAAAAUAUUUACUUUGAGAUUCCUUCGGGUAUGAUAGAAAAAUUUCUAGCUAAUCCAUUUGCAGGAGAUGGAACAUUGCAUCCCGAUUUACACCUUAUCUUUGUGGAUGAAGUUUGUGGAUUAUUUAAGCUUGCAGGUAUUCCCGAUGAUGUUGUCAAAAGGAAGGUCUUCCCUUUAUCUUUGAAGGCAUAUGAAUUGGCAUGGUAUAGGCUAUGUGAUGAUACGAGAUCUUGGAAUUAUAAGGGAUUGAAGUUGGAAUUUCACCAGAAGUUCUAUCCUAUGCAUCUUGUUCAUCGUGGUCGUAAUUACAUAUAUAAUUUCUAGCCUCGCGAAGGAGAAAGCAUCGCUCAAGCUUGGGGGAGGCUUAAGUCAAUGUUAUAUUCAUGCCCCAAUCAUGAGCUCUCUCGGGAAAUGAUUAUUCAGAAUUUUUAUGCUCGGCUUUCUCUUGAUAAUCGCAACUUGCUCGAUACUUCCUGUGCUGGUUCUUAUAUGCUGAAGACUAUUGAUUUCAAAUGGAACUUAUUGGAAAUAAUUAAAUGCAACUUUGAAGAUUGGGGUUCCGACGAUGGUAAGGAGUCAGGUAUGACACCUAAGUUUGAUUGUGUUAAAUCUUUCAUGGAUACCGAUGCUUUCCGUGGAUUUAGCGCUAAGUAUGGACUUGACUCUGAGAUAGUAGCUACUUUCUGUGAAUCUUUUGCUACUCACGUUGAUCUCCCUAAAGAGAAGUGGUUUAAAUAUAAUCCUCCUGUUAAAGUAAAAGUAGUUGCACCUAUUACAGUCGAAGAAAAGACUAUUACCUAUAGUGAUCCUAUUGUUCCUACCGCUUAUUUUGAAAAACCUCCUUUUCCUGUUAGGAUAAAGGAUCAUGCUAAAGCUUUGACUGUUGUUCAUAAGAGUAAUACUAGGACUUAUACACCUCCUGAGCGAAUUAAUGUUGAACCUAGUAUUGCUAUGGUUAAAGAUCUCUUGGAUGAGGACUUAGAUGGGCAUGUUAUUUCUUUCUUGGGUGAGACUGCUAAUAUUGCUAGACCUGAUACUAAGACACGUAGACCUAUCGUAGGCAUGCCAGUUAUUUCUGUUAAAAUAGGAGAUCAUUGUUAUCAUGGCUUAUGUGAUAUGGGUGCUGGUGCUAGUGCGAUACCUUAUGAUCUUUAUAAAGAAAUUAUGCACGACAUUGCACCCGUUGAAUUAGAAGACAUUGAUGUUACUAUUAAGCUUGCUAAUAGGGAUACCAUUAAACCUAUUGGGAUUGUUAGAGAUGUUGAAGUUUUGUGUGGGAAGGUUAAAUACCCUACUGAUUUCCUUGUUCUUGGUUCCCCACAAGAUGAUUUUUGUCCCAUUAUUUUUGGUAGACCCUUCUUGAAUACUGCUAGUGCUAAGAUUAAUUGUGAAAAGAAUAUUGUCACUGUUGGCAUAGAUGGUAUGUCUCAUGAGUUUAAUUUUGCUAAGUUAGGUAGACAACCUCAUGAGAGGGAACCACCUAGUAAGGAUGAGAUUAUUGGUCUUGCUUCCAUUGCUAUUCCUCCCACUGAUCCGUUAGAACAAUAUUUGCUACACCAUGAAAACAAUAUGUUUAUGAAGGGAAGGGAAGAAAUAGAUGAAGUGUUGCUUAAACAGGAACCUAUGCUGAAACAUAACCUUCCCGUUGAAAUUCUUGGGGAUCCCCCUCCACCCAAGGGUGAUCCCGUGUUUGAUCUCAAACCAUUACUUGAUAAUCUUAAGUAUGCUUAUCUUGAUGAAAAAGAAAUAUGUCCUGUUAUUAUUAGGGCUAACCUUUCAGAGAAAGAAGAAGAAAGGUUAUUGAAAACUCUGAAGAAGCACUGAGCUGCUAUUGGAUAUACUCUGGAUGAUCUUAAGGGCAUUAGCCCCACAUUAUGUCAACACAAAAUUUCAGUGGAGAAAGAUGCCAAACCAGUUAGAGAUCCUCAAAGACGAUUAAAUCCCAAGAUGAAGGAAGUGGUAAGAAAGGAGAUACUAAAGCUCCUUGAGGCAGGUAUUAUUUAUCCCGUUGUUGAUAGUGAAUGGGUAAGCCCUGUCCAUUGUGUUCCUAAAAAGGGAGGUAUUACUGUUGUUCCUAAUGAUAAAGAUGAAUUGAUCCUGCAAAGAAUUAUUACAGGUUAUAGGAUGGUAACUGAUUUCCGUAAGUUAAAUAAAGCUACUAAGAAAGAUCAUUACCCUUUACCUUUUAUUGAUCAAAUGCUAGAAAGGCUAUCCAAACACACACAUUUCUGCUUUCUAGAUGGUUAUUCUGGUUUCUCUCAGAUACCUGUGUCGGCGAAGGAUCAAUCUAAAACUACUUUUACUUGCCCUUUUGGUACUUUUGCUUAUAGACAUAUGCCUUUUGGUUUAUGUAAUGCACUUGCUACCUUUCAAAGAUGCAUGAUGGCUAUAUUCUCUGAUUUUUGUGAAAAGAUUAGUGAGGUAUUCAUGGAUGACUUCUCAGUCUAUGGAUCCUCUUUUGAAGAUUGUUUGAGCAACCUUGAUCGAGUUUUGCAGAGAUGCGAAGACACUAGUCUCGUCCUGAAUUGGGAAAAGUGUCACUUUAUGGUUAAUGAAGGCAUUGUCUUGGGGCACAAGAUCUCUGAGAGAGGUAUUGAAGUUGAUAAAGCCAAGGUUGAUGCUAUUAAAAAGAUGCCAUGUUGAUGACCCGCAAGUAUACGGGAUAGUUGUAGCCUCUUUCGAUAAGUAAGAGUGUCGAACCCAAUGAGGAGCUAAAGGUAGAACAAAUGCUCUCUCAAGUCCUAUCGGCCACUGAUACGACUCUACGCAUGCUUGACGUUCGCUUUACCUAGAACAAGUAUAAAACUAGAAGUACUUUGCAGGUGUGAUAGCAUAGGUUUGCAAGAUAAUAAAGAGCACGUAAAUAAAAGGUAGGGGCUGUUUAGAUAAAGAUGCAAUAAAGUAAAUAAAGCAAGUGUGGAAAAGUGGUGGUAGGAGUUGUGGAAUUGUCCCUAAGCAAUUGACUACUUUCCUAGACCGAUAGCAAGUAUCAUGUGGGAGAGGCCACUGCUAGCAUGUCAUCCCUGACUUGGAAUUCUAUGCACUUAUGAUUGGAACUAUUAGCAAGCAUCCGCAACUACUAACAUUCAUUAAGGUAAAACCCAACCAUAGCAUUAAGAUAUAUUGGUCCCCCUUCAAUCCCGUAUGCAUCAAUUUCUAUGCUAGGUUGAAGCUUCUGUCACUCUAGCCCUCCAAUACAUAGUCCUAUCAACAUACAACUAACCAUAUGGUGUGAUCCACGUCGCGCUCAUAUGAUGGGCACCAAAGGGCAGCAACAUAACCACAAGAAAAUUAAAUCAAUCAUAGAAAUUCAUCAACCACCAAAUAGGACAACGAAAAUCUACUUAGACAUCAUAGGAUGGCAACACAUCAUUGGAAAAUAAUAUGAAGCAUAAAGCACCAUGUUCAAGUAGAGGGUACAGCGGGUGCGGGAGAGUGGACCGUUGAAUAUAGAAGGGGGAAGGUGAUGAAGAUGUUGGUGAAGAUGGCGGAGGUGUUGGUGAAGAUCGUGGUGAUGAUGAUGGUCCCCGGCGCCAUUCCGGCGCCACCGGAAGCAAGGGGGAGAGAGCCCCCCUUCUUCUUCUUUUUCUUCUUCUUCCUUGACCUUCUCCCUAGAUGGGAGAAGGGUUUGCCCUCUGGUCCUUGGCUCCCAUGGCUUGGGAGGGGCGAGAGCCCCUCCGAGAUUGGAUCUAUCUCUCUGUUUCUGCGCUCUCAGAUUCUACCCCUUCACCGUUUCUUAAAUAUCCGGAGAUCCGUAACUCCGAUUGGGGUGAAUCUUUCGCCCAGAUUUUUCUCGUAAAAUUAGCUUUCUUGCGGCAAAAGAAGGGCAUCAACCGCCUUAUGGGUGGACCACGAGAGUCCAGGGUGCGCCCAGGGGGGAGGGCGCGCCCCCUGUCUCGUGGCCACCCCGGACACCGUUUCGCGUUGAUUUUACUUCCCAAAAAUCAUAAAUAUUCCAAAAAAAUCUCCGUCCGUUUUUAUCCCAUUUGGACUCCGUUUGAUACUGGGUUUCUGCGAAACAGAAAACAUGCAACAGAUAGGAACUGGCACUGGGCACUGGAUCAAUAUGUUAGUCCCAAAAAAUAGUAUAAAAAGUUGCCAAAAGUAUAUUAAAGUUGAAUAAUAUUGGCAUGGAACAAUCAAAAAUUAUAGAUACGAUGGAGACGUAUCACAUGUCCCAAGGACAUAAAAGGUAUAAGAAGUUUCCUUGGUCACGCCGGUUUUUAUAGGAGGUUCAUUAAGGACUUUUCUAAAAUCUCUAGGCCUCUGACUAAUUUAUUACAAAAAGAUAUUCCUUUUGUCUUUGAUGAUGAUUGUGUAGAAGCAUUUGAAACAUUUAAGAAAGCUUUGGUCACUGCACCUAUUGUUCAGCCGCCUGAUUGGAAUUUACCUUUUGAAAUUAUGUGCGAUGCUAGUGAUUAUGCUGUAGGUGCUGUUUUAGGGCAAAGAGUCGAUAAGAAAUUGAAUGUUAUCCAGUAUGCUAGUAAGACUCUUGAUACUGCCCAAAGAAAUUACGCUACUACUGAAAAAGAGUUCUUAGCAGUUGUGUUUGCAUGUGAUAAGUUUAGACCUUAUAUUAUUGAUUCCAAAGUUACUAUUCACACUGAUCGUGCUGCUAUUAAAUAUCUUAUGGAAAAGAAAGAUGCUAAUCCUAGACUCAUUAGAUGGGUUCUCCUGCUCCAAGAAUUUGACUUGCAUAUUAUUGAUAGAAAGGGAGCUGAGAACCCCGUUGCAGAUAACUUGUCUAGGUUAGAGAAUGUUCUUGAUGACCCACUGCAUAUUAAUGAUAGCUUUCCUGAUGAACAAUUAGCGAUCGUCAAUGAUUCUCAUACUGCUCAUUGGUAUGCUGAUUAUGCUAAUUACAUUGUUGCUAAAUAUAUACCGCCUAGUUUCACAUACCAGCAAAAGAAAAAGUUCUUUUAUGAUUUAAGACAUUACUUCUGGGAUGAUCCACACCUUUAUAAAGAAGGAGUAGAUGGUGUUAUUAGACGUUGUGUGCGUGAGCAUGAACAGGAACAGAUUCUACGUAAGUGUCACUCUGAAUCUUAUGGAGGGCACCACGCUGGAGAUAGAACUGCACACAAGGUACUACAAUCUGGUUCUUAUUGGCCUACUCUCUUCAAAGAUGCUCAUAAGUUUGUCUUAUCCUGUGAUGAAUGUCAAAGAAUAGGUAACAUUAGUAGACGUCAAGAAAUGCCUAUGAAUUAUUCUCUUGUUAUUGAACCAUUUGAUGUUUGGGGUUUUGAUUAUAUGGGACCUUUUCCUGCCUCUAAUGGUUAUACACAUAUUUUAGUUGCUAUUGAUUACGUUACUAAGUGGGUAGAAGCUAUUCCAACUAGUAGUGCUGAUCAUAACACUUCUAUUAAAAUGCUUAAAGAAGUUAUUUUUCCGAGGUUUGGAGUCCCUAGAUAUCUUAUGACUGAUGGUGGUUCACAUUUUAUUCAUCGUGCUUUCCGUAAGAUGCUCGCUAAGUAUGAUGUCAAUCAUAGAAUAGCAUCUCCUUAUCACCCGCAGUCUAGUGGUCAAGUAGAGUUGAGCAAUAGAGAGCUCAAAUUAAUUUUGCAAAAGACUGUGAAUAGAUCUAGAAAGAAUUGGUCCAAAAAACUUGAUGAUGCAUUAUGGGCCUAUAGAACUGCAUACAAAAAUCUUAUGGGUUGUCUCCAUAUAAGAUGGUUUAUGGAAAAGCGUGUCAUUAACCUCUUGAACUUGAACAUAAGGCAUAUUGGGCUAUUAAAUAGCUCAAUUAUGACUUCAAACUUGCUGGUGAGAAGAGGUUAUUUGAUAUUAGCUCACUUGAUGAAUGGAGAACCCAAGCCUAUGAGAAUGCCAAGCUAUUCAAAGAAAAAGUCAAACGCUGGCAUGAUAAGAGGAUACAAAAGCAUGAGUUUAACGUAGGAGAUUAUGUGUUAUUAUUCAACUCUCAUUUAAGAUUUUUUGCAGGAAAACUUCUCUCAAAAUGGGAAGGUCCCUAUGUUAUCGAGGAGGUCUAUCAUUCUGGUGCUAUAAAAAUCAACAACUUUGAAGGCACAAAUCCGAGGGUGGUAAACGGUCAAAGAAUUAAACAUUAUAUUUUAGGUAAUCCUAUCAAUGUUGAAACUAAUAUUAUUGAAACCAUAACCCCUGAGGAAUACAUAAGGGACACUUUCAAGAAUGUUCCAGACUCCGAAAAGGCAUAGGUAUGUGGUACGGUAAGUAAACCGACUCCAAAACAACUCUAAUGGCAUUUUUUAUCAGUUUUGGAUUAUUUAAGAAUUUUAGGAAGAAAGAAGUAGUACGAAAGGGACAUGAGGCCCCCACGAGAGUGGAGGGCGCGCCCCCUGUAGGGCAUACCCCUGUCUCGUGGGCACCUUGUGUGCCUCCCGGACUCCGUUUUCUUGCACAUUACGUAUUUUGGUCAGUAAAAAUUCAUUAUAUAUACUCCCGAAGGUUUUGACCACGGUAUCACGCAAAUAUCCUCCGUUUUCGUUUCGAGCUGUUUCUGUUUUAGAUCUAGAGCAUCAUGGCAUCUCCAAGCGCUCCCAAGGACAAGUUUUUCGAGAGGGUUAUCAACCCUUAUCUCGCGGAGGUGCUGCAACACCCUCAAACCAUCGAGAUGUGUGAGGGGGUGCUGCACAUCCGCGAUGUGGAGGGACCAAAGCGUACCGGGAGCGUGGAGACAAAGCUCGAAGCCGUGGAGAAGGAAGUUUUCAAGUGUCAAGGGAUGGUGGAGUGUGGACUCAACGCCAACCAGAUGAUGAUCACGGAGUUUACCAACAACCACAAGCUAGAUGCUAAAGUCAUUAGGGAGACCAUCUUCAAGCUUCAAGAGAAAAUCAAGCACCUCCAAGCCCAGAUCUAUGACCUGCAAAACCAGAACUGUGAGUAUGAAUAUAGAUUCAAGCGAAUGAGUUUGGCUGUAGAUUUAAGGAUCUCGGAGACUCGAUCAUCCUUUUAUGAUGGAGAGCCUAUUCUUUGGAAGACAGACGACAAGCCUACAUCAUCAACAACUCCUACUUCACCACCCCCGAGGAAAUAAUCACAUGGGUAUGGGCACUCCCCUUUGCAACUGCCAAGCUUGGGGGAGGUGCCCCGGUAUCGUAUCAACAUCACACUCCUAUCUUUACCACUUUAUUUAGUUUGAUCCUUUUAGUAGUAUCUUGAUCUAGUAGAUUGAAAUUUGGAUAUCAAGUAGUUUUGAGUUUUGCUUUGUGAUUUCUUUAUGUAAUCGAGUACAUGUGCUAUCUAUAAUAAAGAUUAGUGUUGAGUCAAGGGCUUUGCUAUGUUGCUAUGAUCUUGAGAAAGUAGAAAGAAUAAAGGAGUUCAUAUUGAUCUUAUGGAUAGUGAUAACUUCACACAUAGAAAGUAUGAGGCAUAAAAAUUGUUGAGAGUUGAUGAACAUAGCCUUGGUCAUCGUUGCAAUUAAUAGGAAGUAAUAAGGAAAGAGGGGUUCACAUAUAAAUAUAUUAUCUAGGACAUCUUUUAUGAUUGUGAAGCACUUGUUAAGUAUGACAUGCUAAAAGAGUUGAUGUUGGACAAGGAAGACAAUGUAAUGGUUUAUGUUUUCCGACAUAUCAGUUAAAGUAUAUUGUCAUUGACCUUCCAAACAUGUUGAGCUUGCCUUUCCCCCUCAUGCUAGCCAAAUUCCUUGCACCAAGUAGAGAUACUACUUGUGCUUCCAAAUAUCCUUAAACCCAGUUUUGCCAUGAGAGUCCACCAUACCUACCUAUGGAUUGAGUAAGAUCCUUCAAGUAAGUUGUCAUCGGUGCAAGCAAUAAAAAUUGCUCUCUAAAUAUGUAUGACUUAUUAGUGCAGAGAAAAUAAGCUUUGUACGAACUUGUUGUGGAAGUAAUAAAAACGACGGGCUGCAUAAUAAAGGUCCACAUACAAGGGGCAAUAUAAAGUGACAUUCUUUUGCAUUAAGAUUUUGUGCAUCAACCCUAAAUGUGCAUGACAACCUCUGCUUCCCUCUGCGAAGGGCCUAUCUUUUACCUUAUGUUUUUACUUUAUGCUUGAGUCAAGGUGAUCCUCACCUUUCCCUUUUUAUUUUAUCCUUUGGCAAGCUCCUAGUGUUUGAAAGAUCAUGAUAUAUAUAUCCAAUUGGAUGUAAGUUAGCAUAGGCUAUUAUCGUUGACAUCACCUAAAGGUGAAUACAUUGGGAGGCAACACAAUAAGCCCCUAUCUUUCUCAGUGUCCGACUGAAACUCUAUAACCACAAGUACUGCAUGAGUGUUAGCAAUUAUAGGAGACUACGAGAUAGUUGAGUAUGUGAGCUUGCCGAAAAGCUCUAUUAUUGACUCUUUCUGAUGUUACGAUAAACUGCAAUUGCUUCAAUGACUGAGAUUAUAGUUUGUUAGUUCCCAAUGAAGUUUUUGAACAAUACUUGACAUUGUGAAUUGCUUGUUACUUGAGCAUAGGAAAUCAUAUGACAAAAUCUAUAUAUAUUGCUGUUAUUAGAAUGAUCAUCAUGCCCUCAUGUUCGUAUUUUAUUCUUUUAUCGACACCUCUAUCUCUAAACAUGUGGACAUAUUUUUCGAUUUCGGCUUCCGCUUGAGGACAAGCGAGGUCUAAGCUUGGGGGAGUUGAUACGUCCAUUUUGCAUCAUGCUUUUAUAUCAAUAUUUAUUGUGUUAUGGGCUGUUAUUACACAUUAUAUCUCAAUACUUAUGGCUAUUCUCUCUUAUUUUACAAGGUUUUCCAUGAAGAGGGAGAAUGCCGGCAGCUGGAAUUCUGGCUGGAAAAGGAGCAAACGUUAGAAACCUAUUCCGCACAGCUCCAAAAGUCCUAAAACUCCACGAAACAACUUUUUGGAUUUAAUAAGAAUUUCUGAGCGAAAGAAAUAGGCCAGGGGGCUCACACCCUGUCUAGGAGAUAGGGCCCCCCCUAUAGGGCACACCCCCUAUCUCCUGGGCCCCCUGGUGGGCCUCCGGCGUCCAUCUUCUGCUAUAUCAUCACUUUUACCCUGGAAAAAAUCAUGGGCAAGCUUACGGGACGAAACUCCGCCGCCACGAGGAGGAACCUUGGCAGAAUCAAUCUAGGGCUCUGGCGGAGCUGUUCUGCCGGGGACACUUCCCUCCGGGAGGGGAAAUCAUCACCAACGUCAUCACCAACGAUCCUCUCAUCGGGAGGGGGUCAAUCUCCAUCAACAUCUCCACCAGCACCAUCUCCUCUCAAAACCCUAGUUCAUCUCUUGUAUCCAAUCUUGUAUCAAAACCACAAAUUGGUACCUGUGGGUUGCUAGUAGUGUUGAUUACUACUUGUAGUUGAUGCUAAUUGGUUUACUUGGUGGAAGAUCAUAUGUUUAGAUCCUUUAUGCAUAUUAUUACUCCUCUGAUUUUGAACUUGAAUAUGCUUUGUGAGUAUUUACGUUUGUUCCUGAGGACAUGGGUGAAGUCUUGCUAUUAGUGGUCAUGUGAAUUUGGUAUUCGUUCGAUAUUUUGAUGAGAUGUAUGUUGUCUUUUCCUCUAGUGGUGUUAUGUGAACGUCGACUACAUGACACUUCACCAUUAUUUGGUCCUAGAGGAAGGCAUGGGGAAGUAAUAAGUAGAUGAUUGGUUGCUAGAGUGACAGAAGCUUAAACCCUAGUUUAUGUGUUGCUUCGUUAGGGGCUGAUAUGGAUCCAUACGCUUAAUGUUGUGGUUAGUGAGGGAGUCCUGGAUUAGGGGGUGUCCGGAUGGCCGGACUAUGACCUUUGGUCGGACUCCCAGACUAUGAAGAUACAAGAUUGAAGACUUCGUCCCGUGUCCGGAUAGGGACGUUCCUUGGCGUGGAAGGCAAGCUUGGCGAUACGAUAUGAAGAUCUCCUCCUAUUGUAACCGACUCUGUGUAAUCCUAGCCCUCUCUGGUGUCUAUCUAAACCGGAGGGUUUUAAUCCGUAGGACAGAUAACAAUCAUACCAUAGGCUAGCUUCUAGGGUUUAGCCUCUCCGCUCUCGUGGUAGAUCAACUCUUGUAAUACCCAUAUCAUCAAUAUUAAUCAAGCAGGAGUAGGGUUUUACCUCCACCGAGAGGGCCUGAACCUGGGUAAAAACAUCGUGUCCCUUGUCUCCUGUUACCAUCCGCCUAGACACACAGUUCGGGACCCCCUACCCGAGAUCCGCCGGUUUUGACACCGACAUUGGUGCUUUCAUUGAGAGUUCCUCUGUGUCGUCACCAACAGGAAGGAUGCCGCACCCCGUCUUUAAAGACGGUGCUGUUGCUAAAGAAGCUUUGGUUGUCGGCCAAACUAUCCGGCUAGGCAGGUUUUUGAUGACCGCCUGUUCGGCCGCCGCGCCGGCGAUGACCUCUCGGGUCAUCGAAAGCAAUCUCCAGAUCAGCUCGGAACUCGUUGAGCAGUUAGAUCCGAUGGAGCUCUCUUCUCUAAACGAGCUCUUGGAUCGCAUCGCCGCCAUGGGAGUCGCUACAGAUUAUGGCCAGAUGGGGCUUAAACCUGAUCAGAGAGAGAUUGACUCUCCCCAGGUCACCCACCAUGUUGAAGUGGUGGAAGAACAACACGGCGAAUCUUCGCCCAUCCUAAGGACCAGAUGUGUCCGGAUUCCCAACCCCUCCAAGUCGGAUAUCCGCAGAGGGGAGGAUGUCGCCCAAGCCCUGAACUUGAAGUCAGGCAGUAGGCUCGAUUCAUCGAACAACGUCCAAGAAAACAAGCUUCCGGAUUCAGAAAUUUCUGGGGCCCUGAGUCUUAGAUCGGGAGAGGUUUCGGAUUUAAAUCCACCCGCCCACCCAACUAUAAGGGAUUUAUCCCAAAUACGGCAAGAGCCCGGGGAAACAGUACACCACUACUAGGCCAGAUUCCUCCUGGUUAUUAACAGGAUAAAGGACUGUCGUGAGAAGGAUGCAAUUACAUUCUUCUGUAACAACUAUACGGACACCGGAAUCCGCAAAGACAUAAGUCGUCGCGAAAUUACACGCUUCGCCGACUUGACACCCAUAGUACAAAAGUACUGUGCGAUAGAAAGCGUUCGGAAAACCGAAACGAAAUUCUGGGACAAUCCUGCCCUGAAUACAAUCCCAGUCCGAAACAAAAGGGUGCAUUAUCACGAGGCACCUAAGCCAAACAGCAAAAAACAAAAACCCUCUACAGGGUAUGGGACCGUACUGGAGGGACGGCUCAAUGGACCCUGUAAAAUUCAUAGUUCAGGGGAAGUCGCACCAACUCACAGCCUUAGAGCAUGUUGGAUACUCCGUCAGGAGGCCAGGACCGGCGAGGAGCUUCUAACUCCAGAAUCCGCAGAGCACCACCCCGGAAACGCCAGUACGGGGUCAACAGUCUUCGAGACCUUCACAUCGAACAAUGCAAGGAAGCGAACACUCUGCAGCCUUGCCGAAGUCUACCAGGUAGCAACAAUAAAUCCAUGGAGUGACACGGCUAUUACUUUCAAUGCCAGUGACAAACCUAAAUUCCGGUCAGCUCGAGCACCAGCUGCAUUGGUCCUCAGUCCGAUAGUGGAUGGCUUCCGGCUUACAAAGGUACUCAUGGACGGCGGCAGCGGAUUGAACCUCAUCUAUGAGGAAACACUGUGAAAAAUGGAAAUAGACUGGUGUCGCAUUGAGCGAAGCAACACAACCUUUAGAGGAAUAAUCCCUAGUCGGGAAGCAUGCUGUACAGGGAAAAUCACACUGGACAUGGUGUUCGGUACGCCGGAUAAUUACAGAUCCGAGGAGGUCACAUUUCAAGUGGCCCUGUUCAGCAGCGGAUACCACGCUCUGUUAGGGCAAGAAGCAUUCACAAUUUUUUAAGCUAUACCCCAUUACGGGUACAUGAAGCUCAAAAUGCCCGGACCCAACGGAAUCAUCACUCUUGCUAGUAAUCCGGACACAGCGCUCCGCGCCGAAAACAAGACGGCCGCACUGGCACUUAAGGCAUUAUCCGAAGCCCUGGCGGCUGAGGAACUAACUGUAUUGCGCUCCACAGUGGAUAGGGACGACGUGAUACUCGACAAAAGAUCCAAGUCUGCCUCCUUCAAGCCAGCAGACAAAAUAGUCAAGUUCCAAGUCCAUCCAACGGACGCCACAAAAAUGGCCUCCAUCGGGGCACAACUAAAACCUGAUGUAGGUGCCGCACUCAGAGAAUUCCUACGAGAAAAUUGGGACAUUUUUUCCUGGCACCCUUCAGACAUGCCAGGAAUCCCACGCAGGCUGGCCGAGCACAGCCUGAACAUCCUAAAAGGGUUCAAGCCCGUUAAGCAGAAUCUUCGGCGUUUCUCCGAACCCAAGAGACAAGCCAUGGGAGAGGAGCUAGCAAAAUUACUGGAAGCCGGAUUCAUCAGAGAUAUAAAACAUCCGGACUGGCUAGCAAACCUGGUGAUGGUACCAAAGAAGGACAAAUCCUGGUGCCUAUGUGUUGAUUUCAAAGACCUAAAUAAAGCCUGCCCAAAGGAUCCCUUCCCCCUCCCCCGAAUUGAUCAAAUCAUCGACGCCACUGCAGGACACGAUUCAUUGUGUUUCCUCGAUGCAUACUCUGGCUACCACCAAAUCAAGAUGGCAGAGUCAGACCAAGCCGCAACGGCAUUCAUCACCCCAUACGGCCCAUUCUGCUUCAACACGAUGCGCUUCGGGCUCAAAAACGCCGGCGCAACAUAUCAGCGCAUGAUUCAGACAUGUCUGGCCAACCAGAUCGGCAAAACAGUUGAAGCAUACGUAGAUGACAUGGUCAUCAAAUCCAAACAUGUCGAAACUCUAGUAAACGACUUAAGGCUCACAUUCGACAAUCUCCGAGCAUAUGACAUUAAGCUCAACCCAGAAAAAUGCGUUUUCAGCGUGCCAGCCGGAAAGCUCUUGGGCUUCAUUGUAUCCGGUAGAGGAAUUGAGGCAAACCCAGCCAAGAUCCGAGCUCUGUCGCAAUUGGAUAUCCCAAAAGACCUCAAGCAAAUACAAAAAUUGACCGGAUGCGUGGCGGCUCUAAGCCGCUUUAUCUCCCGCUUAGGAGAAAAGGCAUUACCCCUUUAUUGCCUCCUGCGGCGCAUCGAACACUUCGAGUGGACGGAGGCCGCCACGGCCGGACUCGAAGAAAUCAAAGCCAUACUGGCAACAAAUCCGGUCCUGGCCGCGCCCAAUACGGGUGAACCAAUGCUAUCAUACACCGCGGCAACCCAUCAAGUUGUAAGCGUGGUGCUCGUCGUCGAACAAGAAACGGACGGACACAAGUUUCCUCUCCAAAAACCAGUUUACUACAUGUCCACUGUCCUAACCCCAUGCAAGUCACGGUACCCGCAUUAUCAAAAGAUAGCAUACGUGGUGUUCAUGGCAUCCCGGAAGCUACGACACUAUUUCCAAGAGUGUUCAAUAACAGUGGCAUCCGAAGUACCUCUUAAUGAUAUUAUAAACAACCGCGACGCAACGGGCCGGAUUGCCAAAUGGGCCAUUGAGCUCCUCCCGUUCGAUAUAACUUACAAGCCACGGCGAGCUAUCAAAUCGCAGGUUUUGGCUGACUCAUCGCCGAAUGGACCAAAGCCGAGCUCCCUAAAGAGUACGGCGCAUAUUCCAACUGGAUCAUGCACUUCGAUGGCUCGAAAAUGUUGGCUGGCCUGGGGGCUGGCGUCGUGCUGAUGUCCCCUAUAGUAGAUACAGUCCAAUACGUACUCCAGAUAAUGUACACGGACUCCAACAACGCAGCCGAAUACGAGGCCCUUCUACAUGGUCUCCGGAUGGCAGUCUCCAUGGGCAUUCAGCGCCUAGAGGUCCGUGGGGAUUCAAACCUCGCGGUAUCCCAAAUAAAUGGAGACUUUGACACCAAAGAUCCGAAAAUGGCAGCUUAUCGCAACGCCUCUUAAAGAUGUCAGCCCGGUUUGAGGGGCUCGAAUUUCAUCAUAUAGCUCGGGAGAACAACCAGGCAGCAGACGUGCUGACAUGCAUCGGUGCAAAGCGCGAUGCCGUCCCUCCAACAUCUUCCUAGAAAGGCUUUUCAAGCCAUCCGUAACAUGGGAGGGAGAGUCCGGAAACAACAGCUCGGACACAGCCACACUACCCCUCACCGAAUAUUCUGACACAGUUGGUGGCUCUGCCAACGAAGCGACACCAUCAGCCCACACAAUAAUGGCAGUCAUUGCCCAAUGGAUAGAACCAUUCCUAGCCUACCUAACUAGGCAGGAACUUCCCGAGGACCAAAACGAGGCCCGCUGCAUAGUGCGGCGAUCUAAAGCCUACAAAGUCCACGGGGGAGAGCUUUAUAAGAAGAGCACAACCGGAGUCCUUCAAAGGUAAGAAGGGCGAAAUCUUCUGGCUGAAAUUCAUGCCGAACUAGGCGGGCACCACGCCGCAGCCCGGGCCCUUGUAAGCAAGGCCUUCCGUACCGGAUUUUAUUGGCCGACGGCCCAGACAGACGCUCAGGACUUAGUGAAGCGAUGCGUCGGUUGCCAAUUAUUCGCUAAUCAAAGACACAUGCCGCCUACCGCCCUGCAAACCAUACCCAUCACCUGGCCUUUUGCGGUCUGGGGGCUUGACAUGGUUGGACCCCUUAAAGGAGGAACCCACAAGAAAAAAUAUCUACUGGUCAUGGUGGACAAAUUCACCAAAUGGAUAGAGGCCAAGCCUGUAAAGACGGCCGAAUCCGGACCGGUGAUAGACUUCAUAUCCGGGGUUGUACACCGUUACGGCGUCCCCCACAGCAUCAUAGCUGACAACGGCACAAACUUCACGGCCGACGAAGUUAAACUCUGGUGCAAAAACAUGGGCAUCAAGCUCGACUACGCUUUAGUCUAUCACCCACAAACUAACGGUCAAGUCGAGCGACCAGACUAGUGCGAUCCCUCAAGGAAUCUAACACGCACUGGGUAGAGGAGCUCGACUCUGUACUCUGGCGGCUGCGGACCACGCCGAAUCGCACUAUCGGAUUCACACCAUUUUUUAUGGUAUACGGCGCAGAGGCAGUCCUGCCCUGCGACAUAAUUCAUGACUCACCUUGCGUGCGCAUGUACGAAGAAAGAGAAGCCGAGCUCGAUCGGCGGGACAGCUUGGACAUAUUGGAGGAGGAGCACAACGUGGCAAAAGCCCGUUCCGCAUUCUAUCAACAGCAGGCUCGACGAUAUCAAAGCAGAGAAGUACGGGCCAAAACUUAUAACGUUGGCCAACUAGUUCUACGCCUGCUGGACAAGAAAAAAGACAAACUAAAGCCCAAAUGGGAGGGUCCCUUCAUAAUCGACAAAGUACUGACUGGUGGAGCGUACCGUCUGCGAAACGCAUCGGACAACCGACUCGAGCCGAACCCAUGGAACGCAGCACGCCUACGAAGAUUCUACGCCUAGCGCCGGACUCCGUGUUCGUCUCCUUCCCCUGUCCCCUUUAUUAUUUUUUCACAUUAGCUGUCUGGCAUUUCCCUCCCUCUCCAUCCUUUUUUUCCUUCUCCCAAGCCCUUAGGGGCUUGCUUGCGCAUUGUUCACACAUACUUGACGCGCCACCCGCGCUCAUCAUACCUGGGGGCUUCUUUAUCAGAAGUUUAUAUAAAUGGGCCUCAUGCCCAAAACAUGUGGGACACUUCCUCAUGAACCUUUUAUACACCAUUAUAUGCAUCGAUAUGACUUAAGUUUUGUCCAAGCUGGGUUGCCUGGCUCCUGUGCUUACCCCUACGUUCCCGUUCGUUCAGCUAGGUGGUAAAGGGAGCACCUCUGCGAUUGUUACUGCCGGGUCAGCCAGAUGUGUACCUCAGACUGGGUGAAGCCGAAAGCUAGCGUUCUUAAGGGAAUAUUCGGUCGGUGAACUAAAAGAUGAUUUUUCUUGUUUUUUAUCUGCUCCCAGAUGCUUUUCUGCUCUUUUUAGCAGUUCGGACAUGCACUUUAGGGCAUGCCUCCCAGGGAAAGGAACCCCUAACGGAACUAUUCUCCCUGGAAGAUGUUUCUUAUUAACCAUGUAAUAUAACAUAACUAGUUGGGCACUUGUCUGCUAAAGCAAUUAUGACCCCUACGCCUUGUCUCCACGCAUGCCCCGGUUCUUACAUAAUCGAGAGGGUAUUCGGACACACUCCGGACUAUAGGGUCCAGAGGUCGAAGCGAAAAGGUCCGCAAUGACAAACGAUCUACAAUCCGGCUAGAAGGCAUUUUUCAUGUCAUUUGACAUUACAGAGUCAAUCCGACUCGGUAUAUUUUUCUCCAAUACCAUCCAACAGGUGGUCUAAUUUACAAUCCUAUUGAGAAUACUUGGCAGCCAGUUCUACCUGGCCAUAUACUAAACUAACAGGGAUCUCCUUUCCGUCCGGACCCAUAGGGCCGACCUCGGCCACGUGAUUCGGGUCCGCCUUCGUGUACCGAGUCUUCACCAUGGCCCAGGCCUCCCUGGCACCUUGACGACAGGCCGAUAUCUUCCACAACCGGAAGCACUGCCGCACUCCCUCAAGCUUCUUUGCAAGCUCCCCAAGGCCUUCGGGCAUGGAGAGGGAUGGCCACAUAGCCUGGACGACCCCUGCAUUGCCUGCCGAGCUCGUUCGUGCAGUUGCAACAGCUCGGGAAGAAGGUCCCCCGUUGAAUCAGGCAUUUCCUCCGUAGGACGAGCUGUCAGCAGACCUACAGACAUAGCUCUGUCAAUCGACUUCCUCGCUCAAUCGAAGUCGCCGAUUCUCCUUUAUGGAAGCAGACAGCUGAAUACGAACAUCCUUUAGUUCCUCGCCCAGCUGGGUAUUGGUGUCUUGAAGUUUGUUGUUCUCUUGCCUCACCCUCGUCAGCACGCUCUCGCCAGCCUUUAGUUGGCGUAGGAGCUGUUGCCUGUCCGGAUCUAGUCCGGUGCCAUCUGCAAUAUUAUUGUCAGACUGAUACACACGUCGCACUUCAUAAACUACUUAACUUUCGGAAUAUGUAUUACCGGAGGCGGUCCCUGUGGCUCCCCCUGCGGUGGCUAGUGCGGCCUCAAGUUGGGCCUUGCACUCUUGAAGCUCCUGGGAUAGGUGGGUAUUCUUUUCUGUAAGAUCCUGCGUAACAAAUGAUCCUUAAAUCAGUUAUUCUAACUAUUUUAAGUCUCGGGGGCUACUGGCAUAUAUAACCAUCAAAAUUCCUCACCCGUAUGUCUUUCACAUACUGCUCCGUGGCUCUGGCUAGACCAUCUUGAGCGGCAUGGAGGUGCACAUCUCCCAAACUAAAGGCGUUCAAGGCCUCUGGGGAGAAACAUGCGUCACAAAGAAUUGUCCGGCGGCGCCUGUGAUUUAUGGCGCUCUCCACCUCAGAUCUGGUGGCGGACAACCUGUCGGCAUCCUCCGUUGGAGGAGCAUCCGACGCGCGCCUUGUGUUCGUCUCCCCAUCUGGACCUGGCGUUGGAGCCUGGCUGGCGGAGGCUCGAUUGGCAACCUCUCCGGACACAGUCCAGCGAGCGCUCUUUCUCCUGAAAAAAUCACGAGCGUUAGCAUGCCUUCCAGGAAUCUUUCCUUGAGAUACGGAGGCACGCCAUACCGUUGCGGCGACGUCUCGAUCCGCACCGCACUUCUUUUCCGCCUGCUGGGCCGAGCUGCCCCUUGUUGGCCAGCCGCCGCGGGCUCAGCUUCCCGCCUCAAAGGUACCUCCUGCGGGACACCAUCGGUAUGCGGUGAUCAGAAAUAAGCAUGGAUGGGUCAUGGUAUCAGGGCUUCAGUCACAGUUACCGGGGAAGCUGGAAAUAUUCCGGGGUAAUCAGACGUAAUGGCAACCAACGCAUUGUCAAUGCUAAGUUGGUGGAGCACCCCAUCGAUCAACUCCACCUUUAUAUCCGGAUCCUCUUCGGAGGCCGGAUCGAGGGACCAUUCCGGAUCCUCGGGUUGCGGAGGCGGGCUGUGUAUAUCCUCUACAGCCCGGCGCAGUUCCUGCGCCGAAAUCACAAAAGUGAGAUACUAAACCGUGGGAAUGGGGAUCGGACGAGCAAAAAGAAAAUGUCCGCUUACCCAGCUUCGAGGAUUGUUCAUAGAAAAUCUGUUCAAUGGGCUAACACGGAGAAAAUCCUCCUUUUCCCCUUUGUACAGGCCAGACAAGAUCUUCACCAGAUCAGCGACUGAUCCCGGCCCCUUACGGCCAUGGCGGGUGGAAUCAUCCUCCCCGUUGAACUCCCACAUGGGGUGGCCCCUGUAUUGGAGUGGCUGCACCCCCCGCAUAAUGCAUGUGGCCAUGACCCCAAUCAUGGUCAAUCCGGAAUGAGCCAAUAAUCUUAUUCGGUUCAUCAGGUACAGGACGUCCCUGUCAUUCUCCCGUUGAGGGCUCCGCGGACGCCAACUUAGGCGUUUCUUCGGAGGAGCAUUACUGAACUCCGGGAGGCCGAUCCAAACUAGAUACGGUUGCGGGGCGUCUUCUAUAUAAAACCAUUCCGAAGGCCAGUCUUCGGACGCCUUCUUCGGGUUUUCGGAUAGAUAUCCGGUCCCCGCGAUGCGCCAUAGUUCGGCUCCGCCCACUUGAUAUACUAACCCCUCAUAAGAAUGGGGUACGAGGCAGAAUAAUCUCUUCCAUAGCACAAAAUGAGCCUCAACACCCAAGAAUAGCUCGCAAAGGGUCACGAAGCUCGCGAUGUGUAGAAUGGAGGCAAGCUAAGGUGGUGCAGCUGGAGGCCGUAGAACUCCAGGAGCCCCCGGAGGAACGGAUGUAUUGGAAAUUCGAGUCCUCUUAUUAGAUAAGGGACAAAGCAUACCCACUCUCCUUUGGAGCGACUGGGGACGCUCUCCGCCUGUUUUCCGCCCUUGUAGGUGGAGAGUCUGGCUCGAACCGGAACCAUGAAGGCUGGGGGAAGAAAUCCCUUGGUUUGGAGCGCCACUAGCUCGCUGUGCAGGACUGAGCAUCUCUCCCAAAUUCCAGGCUGAGGGCUGGGAGCGCGAGAGGAGGAGUCGCAUCGAUUGUCCAUGAUGGAAUGGAUUUUUGUCAGAGGUGCUCCGAUGAAUAUUCGCGGGAGGAGGAUGGUAUGAUUCGGAUCUAGAUCCUCGUCUCCUUUUAUAGGCGGCUCAUUUGCGCAGCUAGGGGGGAAUGUAAAAAUACCCUGGCUUUUCACAUUCGUUCGACACGUGGAAGAUGGCCUUUAUUGGGCGUGGAAGCCAAGGAGCGCAACAUUUAUCAGAAGCCGGACACUAUUCUAUAAGUAUAUGGAGCUGGAGAAGAACCCGCCUUGCAAUGCCGAAGACAAUUUGCGCGCCGGACUCGUCGUCAUUGAAGCCUGGUUCGGGGGCUACUGAGGGAGUCCUGGAUUAGGGGGUGUCCGGAUGGCCGGACUAUGACCUUUGGCCGGACUCCCGGACUAUGAAGAUACAAGAUUGAAGACUUCGUCCCGUGUCCGGAUAGGGACGUUCCUUGGCGUGGAAGGCAAGCUUGGCGAUACGAUAUGAAGAUCUCCUCCUAUUGUAACCGACUCUAUGUAACCCUAGCCCUCUCCGGUGUCUAUAUAAACCGGAGGGUUUUAGUCCGUAGGACAGAUAACAAUCAUACCAUAGGCUAGCUUCUAGGGUUUAGCCUCUCUGAUCUCGUGGUAGAUCAACUCUUGUAAUACCCAUAUCAUCAAUAUCAAUCAAGCAGGAGUAGGGUUUUACCUCCACCAAGAGGGCCUGAACCUGGGUAAAAACAUCGUGUCCCUUGUCUCCUGUUACCAUCCGCCUAGACGCACAGUUCGGGACCCCCUACCCGAGAUCCGCCGGUUUUGACACCGACAGUUAGGUUUACCUUAAUACUUCUUUUUGUAGUUGCGGAUGCUUGCAAUAGGGGUUAAUCAUAAGUGGGAUGCUUGUCCAAGUUAGGGCAGUACCCAAGUAUCGGUCCACCCACAUAUCAAAUUAUCAAAGUACCGAACGCGAAUCAUAUGAACGUGAUGAAAACUAGCUUGACGAUAAUUCCCAAUGUGUCCUCGGGAGCUCCUUUCUCAUUAUUAGAAAUUAUCCAGGCUUAUCCUUUGCUACAUAAAGGAUUGGGCCACCUUGCUGCACUUUACUUACUUUAUUUACUUGUUGCUCGUUACUAUUCAUCUUGUCACAAAACUAUCUGUUACCUACAAUUUCAGUGCUUGCAGAGAAAACCUUACUGAAAACCGCUUAUCAUUUCCUUCUGCUCCUUGUUGGGUUCGACACUCUUACUUAUCAAAAGGACUACGAUAGAUCCCCUACACUUUUUGGGUCAUCACUUCCUAGCAACAAAAUCUCUCUUAUCAUAACAUUGAUUCUUUGACUGUGGGUUAUCAAGAUCAACAGCAGGUUCAAUCUCUACGUCAUUAUUUUUACUAGGUUGAGCAUCAACAUGAACAUUAUCAUUGACAUUAUCACUAGGUUCAUGUUCAUCACCUGAUUGUGUUUCAGCAUCAGAAAUAGAAAUAUCAUUGGGAUUCUCAUGUGUGUCUACAGUAGGUUCACUAGAAGCAUGCAAAGUCCUAUCGUUUUUCUUUUUCUUCUUUUUAGAAGAACUAGGUGCCUCUAAAUUAUUUCUCUGAGAAUCUUGCUCGAUUCUCUUAGGGUGGCCUUCAGGAUACAAAGGUUCCUGAGUCAUUCUACCAGUUCUAAUAGCCACUCUAAUAGCAAAGUCAUUUUUAUUAUUUAAUUCAUCAAGCAAAUCAUUUUGAGCUUUAAGUACUUGCUCAGCUUGAGUAGCAACCAUAGAAGUAUAUUUGCUAAUGAGUUUGAGUUCACCUUUAACUCUAGCCAUAUUAUCGCUCAUGCGUCCUAUCUCGAAAGCAUUAUUCUUUAACUCUCUACCAACAUAAGCAUUAAAACUUUCUUUUCUAGCCAUAAAGUCAUUAGAUUCAUCUAAGCAUGGGCUAUGAAAUUUAGUAGAGGGGAUUUCAACUUUAUCAUAUAUAUAGAGAGAAUUUACCUUUACUACCUGUGUCGGGUUAUCAAGACAAUGUGGUUCUUACAGGCGGUAUAUUAAGACCAUGUAUUUCUUCAAUAGGAGGUAAUUCUUAACAUCUUCAGCUUUAAUACCUUUUUCUUUCAUUGAUUUCUUUGCCUCUUGCAUAUCUUCGGGACUGAGAAAUAAAACACCUCUCUUCUUUGGAGUGGGUUUAGGAAUAGGCUCAGGAGUUGGCUUAAUUGGUUCGGGAAUUUCCUCAGGAAUUGGCUCAGGAAGAGUCCAAUUAUUUUCAUUAGUCAACAUAUUAUCCAAUAGUAAUUCAGCUUCGACGACUGUUCUUUCCCUGAAAACACAACCAGCACAACUAUCCAAGUAGUCCUUGGAAGCAUCGGUUAGUCCAUUAUAAAAGAUAUCAAGUAUUUCGUUUUUCUUAAGAGGAUGAUCAGGUAAAGCAUUAAGUAACCGGAGAAGCCUCCCCCAAGCUUGUGGGAGACUCUCUUCUUCGAUUUGCACAAAGUUAUAUAUUUCCCGCAAGGCAGCUUGUUUCUUAUGAGCAGGGAAAUAUUUAGCAGAGAAGUAAUAAAUCAUAUCCUGGGGACUACGCACACAACCAGGAGCAAGAUAAUUAUACCAAGUCUUAGCAUCACCCUUUAAUGAGAAAGGAAAUAUCUUAAGGAUAUAAUAAUAGCGAGAUUUAUCAUCAUGAGUAAACAUGGUAGCUAUAUCAUUCAACUUGGUAAGAUGUGCCACAACAGUUUCAGAUUCAAGGCCAUAAAAGGAUAAGAUUCAACUAAAGUAAUGAUUUCGGGAUCAACAGAGAAUUCAUAAUCCUUAUCAGUAACACAUAUAGGUGAAGUAGCAAAAGCGGGGUCAGGUUUCAUUCUAGCAUUAAGAGGCUGCUGCUUCCAUUUAGCUAAUAAUUUUUUAAGAUCAUAUCUAUCAUUGCAAGCAAAGAUAGCUCUAGCAGCUUCUUCAUUCAUAACAUAACCCUCAGGAACAACAGACAAUUCAUAAUCAUUGGGAGAAUUUUCAUCAUCACUAUCAUCAAUAAUAGCAUCUUCAAUAAUUUCAUUCCCCCUAACUCUAGCAAGUUGUUCAUCAAGAAACUCACCUAAUGGCAAAGUAGUAUCACGUACAGAAGUAGUUUCAUCAUAAGUAUCAUGCAUAGCAAAAGUGGCAUCAUCAAUAACAACAUAUCAGAGUUCAUAGCAGUAGCAGGUUUAGGUGUCGCAAGUUUACUAAUAACAGAAGGAGAAUCUAGUGCGGAGCUAGAUGGCAGUUCCUUACCUCCCCUCGUAGUUGAGGGAUAGAUCAUAGUUUUCGCGUCUUUCAAGUUCUUCAUAGUGAUCAACAGAUAUAAAUCCCAAGUGACUCAGAGAAUAGAGCUAUGCUCCCCGGCAACGGCGCCAGAAAUUAGUCUUGAUAACCCACAAGUGUAGGGGAUCACAAUAGCUUUCGAGGGUAAAGUAUUCAACCCAAAUUUAUUGAUUCGACACAAGGGGAGCCAAAGAAUAUUCUUGAGUAUUAGCAGUUGAGUUGUCAAUUCAACCACACCUAGAUAACUUAGUAUCUGCAGCAAAGUAUUUAGUAGCAAAGUGGUAUGAUAAUAAAGGUAACGGUAGCAGAAGUAAUGUUUUUGGGUUUUGUAAUGAUUGUAACAAUAGCAACGGAAAAGUAAAUAAGCGAAACACAAGAUGUGAAAAGCUCGUAGGCAAUGGAUCAGUGAUGGAUAAUUAUGUCGGAUGUGACUCCUCAUGUAAUAGCUAUAACAUAGGGUGACACAAAACUAGCUCCAGUUCAUCAAUGUAAUGUAGGCAUGUAUUCCGUAAAUAGUCAUACGUGCUUAUGGAAAAGAACUUGCAUGACAUCUUUUGUCCUACCCUCCCAUGGCAGCGGGGUCCUAGUAGAAACUAAGGGAUAUUAAGGCCUCCUUUUAAUAGAGAACCGGAACAAAGCAUUAGCACAUAGUUAAUACAUGAACUCCUCAAACUAUGGUCAUCACCGAGAAGUAUCCCGAUUAUUGUCACUUCGGGGUUGUCGGAUCAUAACACAUAAUAGGUGACUAUAGACUUGCAAGAUAGGAUCAAGAACACACAUAUAUUCAUGAAAACAUAAUAGGUUCAGAUCUGAAAUCAUGGCACUCAGGCCCCAGUGACAAGCAUUAAGCAUAGCAAAGUCAUAGCAACAUCAAUCUCAGAACAUAGUGGAUACUAGGGAUCAAACCCUAACAAAACUAACUUGAUUACAUGGUAAAUCUCAUCCAACCCAUCACCGUCCAGCAAGCCUACGAUGGAAUUACUCACGCACGGCGGUGAGCAUCAUGAAAUUGGUGAUGGAGGAUGGUUGAUGAUGAUGACAGCGAUGAAUCCCCCUCUCCGGAGCCCCGGACGGACUCCAGAUCAGCCCCCCAGAGAGAGAUUAAGGCCUGGCGGUGCCUCUGUAUCGUAAAACGCGAUAAAACUUUCUCUCUGAUUUUUUCCCCGAACGUGAAUAUAUGGAGUUGGAGUUGAGGUCGGUGAAGGUCUAGGGGUCCCACAAGACAGGGGGGCGCCCCCCACCCUCGUGGACAGGGUGUGGGCCCCCUGGUCUUGAUUCUUUCGCCAGUAUUUUUUAUAUUUUCCAAAAAGUGCCUCCGUGGAUUUUCAGGACAUUCCGAGAACUUUUGCUUUCUACACAUAAAACAACAUCAUGGCAGUUCUGCUGAAAACAGCGUCAGUCCGGGUUAGUUUCAUUCAAAUCAUGCAAGUUAGAGUCCAAAACAAGGGCAAAAGUGUUUGGAAAAGUAGAUACGUUGGAGACGUAUCAACGUCCUCCGCAGCACACCGACAAAUUGGUACCACAUGCGCAGAAACCCGACAUAGCUUCAACGCAUGGUCAGUAGUCCAAUGCCUCUACUCCUACAGCCCAACCGUCCGUCACAGCAGCACCGCUAGCUCAGCGGUCUGACAUAGCUAAACCGUCUGCUAAGCAAUCCGUCGAAGCUUCACCGUUUGCUCGGCAGUCUACCUUUCAGCCAACUAGAUGUUCUACUAGAAAUGCUUCAAGUACCAAGAAGGAAGCGGCCGAAAAGGCCGCACCCGCGAGGAAGCGCGCCGGGAGAUCAAAGAGGAAAAAGAACGAUUACCUCUUACUUAAAGCACUCAUCGCCCAGAACCAAAUUAACAGCAGGUUGUUCGAAUCAGGGAGUAAUAUUAUUUCUGACGGCAUGGAUGAUGAAGAAAUGGAUUUGCAGCUUGCUAAAAAUAAGGCAGACAUACUUGAAGCACGCAAUUAUGUCCAUGGCCAGCCAUUUCUUGUUGGCGAAUACUUUGAUGAGUGCAGCUCCAGUUGCCGCGAGUUACAUAAAGAUUGCAUGGAUCAAAUGUCAGCAGGUAAUCAUGGGACUGGGCCACUACAACAAUGUCAACUGGUCAUUAUUUGACUAGUCCACUACAACAGAGAUCAUUUCCGACACGAUGUUGGUUCCAUCAAUGUGAGUUUCGAGGACAUACAUCUCUUCUUCAACUACAACGAGCUUGAUGUCACUCUUGUUAGAUGUCUGAUUUUGUAAGUACUUAACAAACUCUAAUCAACUUCUCCAUACAAGGUUGUAAAUGAUAAACAACUAACUGCAUUUUAGUCCUCUCAGGGGAUUGAAUGCGCAGAGAAGAAAAAGGGAGAGUGUGUAUUUCAUAGAUCCUGCAUUAGCAAAUGGCACAACAUUAGAUGGUAAGGACCUAUAGGACUGGGCCAUUAACACGGUCGUCGGCAUAUUCGAAAACACGUCCCAUGCAGAAUCAUUUCUCUGGUCAUAUAAUGAAUGGUAAGUCAAGUAAAAAAACACGCAUACACUGAUUGUCUUUCAGAUUUCUACAUAAUUCGUAAGUUCAUGGCUUUCUUAAUAUGUAGCAAUCACUGGAUAUUGGUAUUCAUUGUUCUAAACAAGAACACAGUUAACUACAUGGAUUCUCUCAAAGAGUCAACAAACGCUCAGGAUCUCACGCAUCUUCAGCAAUUUAUGGAUAGGUAUUGAAUUCCAUGAUGUUAAAAUUAAUUUGAAUUCAUAUCUGAUUCAAUAAUUGAUGUUGUCAAAAUUCAUCUUCAUUUGCAGUGUGCUCGCAUUGUGGAAAACUAAACCAGGGAACCUGUUUAAGAGGGAACUACCUCUGCAGCACGAGAUCGUUUCUCCGGUAACACACCGAAAUUUGUUAUUUUCAGAAAAUUUAUUCAAUAGUCUGCAAAUACCUUUUCUUACGCUAGUCAAAUGUUCAAGAUUUUAAAUAAACCUCUUUCUGUUUCUGUCCAAAGAAAAAAAAAUACAUCUAACAACAGUUAGGUUGUUCCUAACAGGAUAAAUACAUGACUAAUUAUGUACAGAAAAUUUCAGCGUCCUCAGCAACAAGCAGGGACCAACCUUUGUGGGUACUAUGUUUGCAGACAUAUGAUCUCCAUCUGCAAAUCUGCUCAUAGUUGUGAAGAUGCUCGCGAAUUAGUACCAGUAAGUCUAUCUUAAUUAAUAUCUUCUACUCCACUCAUAUGGCACAUUCUGAUCUUAAAAAAUACCGCAACUCAUCCUAGAACCGAGGACCCCUGAACCGCUCCCCGCUGGUGAAUUGAUGAUGGUUCGAAAAUUUAUCAGCAACUUCUUCCUGAAUUACUACAUCAAUCCCACUGGUGUUAAUGAAUAUUUCAGCAUGCCUUCUCCUGAAAUAUUGAGUAAGAGUUAGCCGCUAAACAUAUACCCAUGGAUCCAUUGUUUUCCAUCUGAUGAGGUCUUCGUAUUUCGUACGAAACUAUGAUUAAUUAUGUAAUGCAUAUAUGUGUCGACAAAUCAUUGGAAUUUAGCUACCAUAUGUUCAAUUGCAAUUGUUGCGAAAUCUGAUGAAUGUCAUUAUUUGUUCAAUUGAAUAUUGUGGCGAAUUUACUGUUUGCAUGCCAAUUCAAAAUGGGAAAUUUUGUUUUUAACAUGGCAAUUGCUCCGCACACGGUACAACUAAAUGAAUGUGUGUGAUCCAUACUGGAAAGCAUAUGUCAAUCAUAGCGGAACCAUCGGUGAUACACAGCAUAUCGCAAACGAUUUGCAGCACUACUACGUGUGCGUAGGGGCUCAGGAACCGUUUGUGAUAUCAUGGUAUCGCAUACAGUGCCCAAUGUAAAAUACAAUCUCAGUCGUAAAUUUUUCAGAAAACGUGUGGGAUUCCAAACGGAAAGCACACGUCACUUUUGCCGCAACCUUCAGUGAUACACAACAAAUCACAAACGGUUUGCAGCACUUGUAUGUGUGCGAAGGGGCUCUUGAACCGUUUAUGAUAGAACAUUAUCGCACACGGUAAUUAUUGGGAAACAUAUGGAUGGAGUCUUGCAUGGCAGACGGGUUCCGUAGAAAACUCGUGUGCGAUGGGGCACAUACCGCACGCAAUUCAUAUGUUGGCCCGUGUGCCUUACAUACUGUUUCCCAAAUGGUUCAUUACAACACACCGUUUGGUUUCACUGCGUCAUCAGAAAUGUUUAAUCACCGAUUCCACACGUGCGAAAGAAUUUAGUGUCUGCUGCAUCGCACACGGGUACAUUUUGCAAGGCCUCUCGAUCAUGGCUCCAUAUCCCCGACGAUUUCUGGAUCGUGUGGGAAAGACCCCCCCCCCUAUCGCAGUCACUCACUUGGCGACGGUUCCAAAUGCCGUCGCGAAAAGGGGUUAAAACCAUUUGUAUAGCACCUCGAUGUACCGGUGCUCUAGUCACGGCCACCCCAUCUGGCUCAACAACGUCCAUACUACCCUGAUCUUGGUACGACUGGGCACCUCGGGUAGCAAGCCCCUGGCCCAAGGUCGGGCAAGGCGACCAAUGACAACCUCGCCGUGACAUCCUCACGAGCAAGAAGGCGGCCACACCACACAAUCUAUGACCAGCUCGUCGGGCCCCAGAUCCGGAUGGAGCGGGCUCCUUGUCAGCAGCCCCCCAGGACAAGGGGACGCAAGGCGCUGGCCCUCCUGGCUGUGUCGACAACCUCCCAGGACGCCCAACCCCUAGUUGUGCGAUGGGUGGCCAGGUGACGUUACCGAACUAGGGUUAAGGGGGUAGAGGGAAGCAAGGGAGAGCAGAGGACGAAGGAAAACCGCUCCGCCAUUGCCAAUUCGUUGCGAGACUUUGCACGGCGGGGAUGACCGGGGGCAAUGAGGGAGGAAGGCGGGGUCAGUGGAGACGGGGUGGGGCUCUUCCCGUGUUGCCCCUUGGGGACAACGCGGUGACAUGACUGUAAAAAACUUUCAUCGUUUAUAAAUUAUGUAUUUUGAAAUUUGGUUUCUUGCCUAUUCAAAAAAAAUCCAUGUAAUUAAGGAAUGUUUAACAUGUAUCCUAAAAGUGUACAACAUAUUUUUAAAAUACAUUCACCGUGUAUUUAGAAAAAUGAUCGCCGCAUAUUUAAUGUAUUUAAAAAUGUUUGACAUGUCUUUAAAAAUUGUUUGUUGUGUAUCUAAAAAAAUCAACAUGUAUAUUAAUAAGUUCACAUAUUUUUUUAAACAGUUCACCAUGUAUUUAUAUUUUUGGGUUAUAUUUGAUUUUUUACAUAUAUUUAAUACUCAUCGUGUAUUUACAAAUUUACAAAAUGUAUGUUCAAAAUGUGUUGAACGACUUAGAAAAUUAUUCACCAUUUAUUUUGAAAAAAAAUAUCAAUGUGUACUUGAAAAAUGAAUGACAUAUGUAUAAAAAUAUCCAGCAUAUAUUCAAAAAUUGUUCAACGAGUAUAUAUAUAUAAGUAUUCAACAUGUAUUCAGAAAAAGGUCAGCAUGUAUUGAAAACAAAAUAAAGCAAACAGAAAAAGGCAAAAAACUAGGAGACACAUAAAACAGAAGAAAAAAGUAAAUAAAAUGUCCAAUGUGUAUCUAAAAAAGGUUUAAAGUCUAUUACAAAUGCACUAAUUGUAUUAAAAAAUGUUCAUACACUAAAACCGGGUGGAUUAAAAGAACACAAGUUCAAAAUAAUCAAAAAUGUGAGAUAGUAGCCCAAAAAAUAUAUAAACAGAAAAAACUGAAGAGAAUAUCAAAUCUAAAAGCAAACACAAAAGGACAAAAAAACUGCAGAGACGGAAAAAAGAAACCCGGCUCGGAAACUUGCUCGAACUGUUAAAAGGUGCUUCCUAUUUCGUGCGUAUGUAGCUGGAUAGGGACCUACCAAAUUCCGGGAGCAACUAGUUAAUGAGCGCUCCUUUGGGAGCCUCACAACGAUCAGCGUCAUUUGACGCACUCUGGGUGCUCCCUUCGAAUUUGUUUUUUUUCGCACGCGUUUUUGACUUUUUAAACGGUUUUUUUCCUGUUUUUCCGAUGUUUCGGUUUUUCACCGAUCUUCCUAAACAUUUGGACAAAAAACAAUUUCAAAGAAAAAAAAUUACGCGAAAAAACUCAUUUUUUCCUUUCAAGAGAGUCACGGUUUCUGCGAGAGUCACGGCCGUGCCUCUCAGAAACGAAAUAAACAUGUUUUCUGUUUUAUUUUCCUUCCGCAAGAGUCACGGUUUUGUUUCCGCGAGAGGUACGGUUGUGCUUUCGCGAGAGUCAUGGCCAUUCCUCUCGAAAGCGGAAAAAAAACGUGGUUUCUGUUUCUUUUUCCUUCCGCGAGAGUCACGGUUUUGCUUCUGCGAGAGGCACGGUUGUGCUUUCGCAAGAGUCACGGCCAUGCCUCUCGGAAACGAAAAAAAUACGUGUUUUCUGUUUCUUUUUCCUUCCGCGAGAGUCACGGUUUUGCUUCCGCAAGAGGCACGGUUGUGCUUUCGCAAGAGUCACGGUCGUGCCUCUCGGAAACGUGUUUUCUGUUUUUAUUCCUUUCGUGAGAGUCACGGUUUUGCUUCCGCGAGUGGCACGGCUGUGCUUUCGCGAGAGUCACGGUCGUGCCUCUUGGAAACAAAAAAGACCCGUUGUCUCUUCUUUUUUUCUUCUUCCGCGAAAGGCACGGUUUUGCUUCCGCGAGAGGCGCGGUUGUGGUUUCGCGGGAGGCACGGGUGUGCCUCUUUCGAAAAGUGAAAAACCCAUGCUCCCUGUUCGGUUUUUUCAACCGGUUUUUCCGUUUGUUUCGUCCGUCAAAACCUACCGACAUGGGAUCUAGUUUUGAAGAUCUCGACGCGAGGAAUCCAACGAUGAAAACGGUCUGAGAUUUGGACGCACGGUUUAAGAGAUAAAAUGUUUUGAAUAAACGGAUCUACGAAAAAAGGGAAAACUCCCGUUACGACAAGUGGCUCAAAUGCAGCACGCCACUUGUCGCGAAGGUGGGAGUGAUCUUUGAAAUGAGUACUCUUCAAUUAACGAUUUCGCCAAAUUCCCCCUUUGCGCUUUGUCCUCUCUACGGGCCAGGCCAUUCUGGCCUUCGCAAGGUUCUAGCACCUUCCCUGCCCAGAACUGUUUUUCUUUUAUAUUUUUAUUUGCUUCUUGUAUUUUAUUACUUUCCCUUUUCCGUCUUCAAAUAAGUGAGCUUUUUUCAAACUCAUGAUUUUUUUGAAUUCCUUAAGUAUUUUCAAAUCCAUGAAUGCGUUUUUCAAAUUCAUGAAUUUUUCUGAAAAAUGCGAAAACAAAUUCAAAAUUUUGAAUCUAUAAUUGUUUUUGGAAUAUGGAAAUAAUGUUCAAAUUCAUGAACAUGUUUUGAAAUCUGAGAAGAUUUUUUCAAAUACUUGAAGCUUUUUUGAAAUUUGGGAGCAAUUCAUCAAGUUUGUGAACUUUUUAUGAAUCUGCUAACAUUCUUUUCGUUGACCAUCAUUUUUGGAAAUUUUGGUAAGACUUUUGGAAUUUGUGAACUUUUUUGGGGACCCACUAACACUUUUUGAAUCUGUGAACAUAUUUUUGAAAUUUUAACCAUAUUUUUAAAUGCACGGAAUUUUUUAGAAUUUUGGCAAAUAUUUUUGAAAAAUUUGGAAAAUAUUUUUUCCAAAUAUUUGAUCACUUAUGGAAAUGCAAGAUUUUUUUUUGUAUAUUUAUGGAAAUGCAGGAUUUGUGAUCAUUUAUGGAAAUUUAGAUUUUUUUGAAUUCUAUGACCUUUUGUAAAAUUCAGGAAUGUUUUCUUUAAAUCACAGAACAUUUUAAAAUUUGGAAUUUCUUUUAUCAUGAAUAAUUUUCAAAUUUUGAUAUUUUCUAAAAUCUCAAGAAUGAAGAAGAAAUGAAAGACAUAGAAAAAUGAAAGAAAAAAACAGAGGUGCCCCUGAGCAAGCUGCUGGUAGUCCCAAAUCUCCUUACAUGUGCUGCCUUGAAGUUGUCAUUUAGCAAUCAACACAACCACUCUUAUGCCAAUGUCGCUAAGUGGUCCAUAGACCUAGUUGUCAUUCUUAGUAUUACAUUUAGCGUUCUUUGUACCGCCAUGAUUGGUUAUGAAUAGAUUGAAAAUUUCCGUCGAAAAAAAAACUGCUACUGCCGUCACCGUAAACAGGCGCUCAAAACAAUGGUCAUUCCCAGCUCCCACGCACACAAAGGGAAUGAAAGGGAUGAGAUUAGAAGAGGUGUUGUUCAGGCGCUAGCAAGCCAUACAGACAGGCGCGGUUCAGGUUUGAGAGCUUCUGGCCGCGCUUCCCCCGCUUCACAGAAUGAAGAAGAAGCUCAAGAGGACGGCAGUGGACCUUUCGUCAGGAUUGAGAGCUUCUGGCCGCGCUUCCCCCGGUUUGAGAGCGUGGCAACGGCCAGUGCAACAUGACUGCCCUUUCGUCAGGAUGAAGAAGAAGCUCGAGAGGACGGCAGUGGACCUGAAGAUAUGGAGCAGAGCCACUUUUGGGAGGGCAACCAUGCAGUUCCACAUAGCAAACGAAGUGAUCCGUUUGCUCGACCUAGCACAGGAGAGCAGACGACUGACAACACUUGAGAUCAACCUAAGAAAGCAACUGAAGCUCAAGGUCCUAGGGUUGGCAGCCAUUGAGAGAGCACGGAGAAGGCAAGCUUCAAGGAUCACCUGGCUGCGUGCUGGGGAUGCGAGCACAAAGUUCUUCCAUGCUAAAAUGAGGGCAAGACGCAGAAAAAAUCACAUACACUCCCUGGUUAAUGGCAACAUAGUGGCCUAUGAGCACGAGGACAAAGAGAAGCUGAUCCAUGAUCAUUUCCAAAGCAGCCUGGGCCGGCAGGAUCCGCGCCAAACAACCCUGAACUGGGACAGGAUAAACGUCCCGAUGAUAAACCCCCAGGGUUUGGACGCUCCCUUCUCGCACGCUGAAGUGUGGGCAGCGAUUAUCGACUCCCCAGCAGAUAAAGCUCCGGGUCCGGACGGUUUCAAUGGACACUUCUUCAGAUCUUGCUGGCAUAUCAUCAAAGAGGACGUCAUGGCCGUUUUUGAAAAAUUCUACCACCUCUCUGGGCAAAAUUUUGCAAGUCUCAACACUGCCCUCAUAGUGCUCCUGCCCAAGAAGAAUGGAGCUUCUGAAGUGGGUCACUUUCGGCCGAUCAGUCUCAUACACUCAAUUGCAAAGCUAAUAUCGAAGGUGCUCGCUUCCAGACUGUCGGGGGCACUUUGUUAGGUCAUCUCUCCAGUGUAGACAGCAUUCCAAAAAGGAAAAUGCAUCCACGACAGCUUCCAAUAUGUUCAAAGUUUAGUAAAAAUGAUGCUGCGCAUGAAGAAGAAGGCGUUGUUCUUCAAGUUGGACAUAGCAAAAGCCUUCGACUCGGUCUCCUGGGAGUACUUGUUCGAGCUGAUGGAGCGGAUGGGAUUCCCCCCCAAGAUGGCGUGACUGGAUCGCGCUGUUGUUAUCUUCGGCUGCGUCAUCAUGCAUGCUAAACGGAGUACCAGGGCCGCAAAUAAUCCACGGGUGUGGUUUCAGGCAAGGUGAUCCCCUCUCUCCACUGAUGUUCAUCAUGGCCAUCGACCCGUUGCACCACCUGCUCGCGGACGCUGCAGCGGAGGGAGCAAUGGCCCCCCUGCCAGGCCGGGGGAUCAGCAUGAGAGCCAGCCUGUACGCCGACGAUGCAGUGAUCUUUGCAAAUCCUGAGAAGGAAGAAGUGGAAACGCUGCUGUUUUUGCUGAAUAUAUUUGGCGAGUGCACGGGGCUCAAAAUGAAUCAGGCUAAGUCUUCGGUGAUUCCUAUAAACUGCAAUGACAUUCAGCUGUCAGAGGUGCUUGCUAGCUUUGGAGGAAAGCAAACCUCCUUCCCAACAACAUACCUUGGCCUGCCCAUUUCCUCGAGAAGAUUGCGGCUGGUGCACUUCCAAUUCAUAAUCGACUGAAUCCGCGCUAGGCUGGCAGGAUGGAAGGGCCAGCUCAUGAGCAUGGCGGGCAGGUGAGUCCUCGUGCGUGCGGUCCUAACUGCACUACCAGUUUUCGCAGGCAGUUCCUCUGGGCGCAGGACGAGAAAAUCACCGGAGCCAAAUGCAAGGUGGCCUGGGAUAAGGUGUGUCGGCCGGUGGGCAAGGGAGGGCUCGGCAUUCUUGAUCUCCACCGUUUCGGCACGGCCCUACGGAUGCGGUGGCUCUGGCUUUCAUGGCAGCAACAGCAUAGGCCCUGGAUGAGCUUCCCCAUCCCAUGCGACCACAACGAUCGCAUGCUCUUUGCAGCGGCCACCUCUGUGCAGCUGGAAAACGGAAACACAGCCAGUUUCUGGACAAGUUCUUGGUUGGGAUCGACGCCGCUGUGCCAAGAGUUUCCAGCUCUCUUCCUGCACUCCCGUGGAAAGAGCAGAACAGUUAAAGAGGCCCUGACAAAUGACAAAUGGAUUCACGACCUGCAGCACGGCAAUACGGACGAACUGGUGAUUCAGUACCUGCAGUUGUGGAGGAAGAUUCGCAGGGCCAAUGUCGCACUAACAACGGAGGAAGAUUCGAUCACCUGGGUUGCGGGGGGAGGAAGCGUCUAUACUGCCAGUGCUGCUUACAAUCUGCAGGCUGCAGAAGCUCCUGACCCAGGAAUCAAGGCGGCAAUAUGGAAGGUUUGGGCCCCAGGAACUGUCAAGAUUUUGGUUGGUUGCUUCUCCAUGACAGGCUCUGGUGCAAUGAUCGCCUGCAAUGGCGCGGCUGGCCAAACUGCUAUUUCUGCGCCCUCUGUCUCAGGAAUCUAGAAUGCUCCACGCACCUCUUAUGGGACUGCUCACUCGCGCGGUCGGUUUGGGAGAAAGCAUCCUCCUGGAGUGGAUGUGCAGCGCUGCAGCUAGCAAGAACGCCGGGCCACUCGUCGUUGAGGCACUGGAAAAAAACAGUCCAGCUUGCCCCGUCAGAUUGCAGGAAAGGUCUGAAGACGAUGAUGAUGAUGAUCGCCUGGGAGCUAUGGAAGGAGAGAAAUGCAUGCGUUUUCAACAGAAAACUGCCCAGCGCCGACGAUGUACUGCAUGCUAUCAGAAAUACGAUCGAACUAUGGAGAAUGGCGGGAGCAAAAUGUCUAGAGCCCCCUUUCGGGGAACACAUAGUGAGGAGUUAGACCGAGGGAAAUGCAGGCCACCCUGCAGUCCUAGUUCCUUUCCCCAAACUGUAACCAUGCUUUCUUCUAUAUCAAUGAAGCCGGAAACCCCGGAUCUUUCAAAAAAAAAAGAAGAGGUGUUGUUUAUGUGCAUUUUAUGCGGGCACGUGCGUGUGCACGGAGCACACACGCAUGCACUGUUAGCAACUCAAUUGACUGCACGCUUAUAUCAAACAAACGUAAAAAACCUCGAUCGACAGCCAUGAUCACUCGCUAGUUGUUACAAACAAACGGCAUCGCCGGAUGAAUGUGUUCCGAUCGAGUUAGAGACCAGAGUAGCAGUAGCCCAGGGUAGGGGCGCGCCUUUGCUAAGAGCGAAGUUUUGGAGGCCGAGCUCCCUGGAGCUCAGUAUUUUGGAAACAUCAAAAAACUUAUUUAAAAGUUUCAAAAAAUCUAAAAAAAUUCCAUCGAAACAUAUAUAUAUUCCGCAAGAACGUGUUAAAUUUUGUUUGAAAAUAUUGUGAUUUGUAGGCUGUACAAAAAAAUCAGCCCCAACAAAAAUAAUAAUAAUAAUAAAAUAAUAAGUCCAUUUAAAACUACGUAUUUUCCCUUUUCUGUACGCCAUGUGUGAAACUAUAAUGCUGUGAAAUUUUGCACAUAUGUAGUAUACAUGUGUAAGUGUGUCCACAAAUAGAAUCGAAAUUUUUCGCGUUGUGAAAAUAUGAAUUUGAAAAACGAGCUCCAUGUAGCUCGGGCUCUAUUGGCAUUUUCCGCGCCUUUGCUCUGUUAUGUUCGUGCAUAUCUCUAUAUUUAUCAGUACUGCGACCUUGGAAUGCCAUGUUUUCAUCGCAUUUCACUUCGUUCCAACACCACACACGAGUAUGACAUUAUGAGCCACUCAAGCAGUGAUCGGGGCAAUAGAAAAAAGACCCAACAUCGAAUGAAGUCGUUGUUAUGCAUGCAGAGUAAAAUUUUAGUAGAAGGAAGGCUUUUAUUAUUACUACUACUCAGAUCUCAGGGUAACAUGCAUCCAUAGCAGAAGAUACAUUCUACGGUAGUAGUAGCUCACUCUAGCUGAGUAUACAGGCACGCUCGCAUUUAUUCAGUUAUUCUCCCCUGACAUCUCCUCCGGUCCUCCUCCCCUCGCCUUCCUCUCGCACGGUCCCGUGAUCGGAACUCCUCACGCAUGCGCGCAUGGUGGCGCUGGCGCCAGGAUGGUGU